rnacentral:lncRNA from 1 species
AUGCAGCCUAAAUUAAUUAAUUAAUUAAUGCUCGUCACUUUUUUAAGCCUCCGUUUGGUUCGGGAUUAAGGAAAAAGUAGCUAUUCCAGGGAUAGAGUUAAGUUCAGGGUUAAAGUGGGUUAAAGUUUUUUUGUGUUGGUUGGAGGUUGGAGUUAGUCUAGAAUAAUGAAAAAUAGUGUUUGGUUGGGUAGGUGGGAUAAGAAGAUAAUGAUUGAUAAAGAAGGAUAAUGAUUGGUUGGAGUAAGUGUGAUAAGAAAGAUAGUGAGUUAUUAUGAAUAGAAAAUAGUGUUUGGUUGGAGUUUGGUGGGGUUAGGUGGGGUUAGCUAACCCGGGAUAAUUUAUUUGAGGUGGGGUUAGGUGGGGUUAGCUAACCCCACCUAUUUUUUCAAGUGUUUGGGAAUAAAAUAAGGGUUAAGAGAUUAUUCCACCCCUUAACCCCUAACCAAACAAGGGCUAAAAGUUGCUUUUCGAAGAAUUAGAUGUUUCAACUAACGAUCCCCCCGGUCACCGUUUUUUCAGAGAGUUAAAUAAGUAGUCACACUCUCAAAUUUCGAUAUAGGGAAAAAAAAAAGAAAAGUAAAAUUAAGCACCCUAAUUACUCAUUGUGACGUGGAUCGACGUGGAGGGUGCGCACACGUCCGUGUCAUGACUCAUCACGCCGAAAUAAUUUGCCACGUGGCACGUCCGACCAAGGAGCGGAGUACCUCGGGGCGGCCGUUUGCGGGGCCCACUCCCACCGCCCAAGAGAUACCGCCACGUCAUCUGCCCUUCCGGGUCGCGGACGCUACUCGGAUGCGGGGCCCACGCCGAGCCAGCACCGCCCAUUGCAAAAUGUUGCAUCAAAUCAGUUCAUGUCCGAGUCCAAUCUAAUCUAAAAUGUUGGGCCUUUGGUCCGAGUCAGAAAUUAUGGCCCGGUUGAGAAACACGAAGAAAAAGACGCGCAUUGAUUAACUGGAAAGUGAAAACAUUUAUACACAAGGCGAUAAGGAGAAAAAGUGGCUCGACCAUGUGACGUGACCUUUUUCCAUGCCCAGCGUUUUAGAUAUAUUAAGAAAUUUCCACAACAACUCGUAGAAAAGGAAUAAUUCAUUGAAUGUAAUUCCUUGUUUAUAAUCUGAUCUGAAUAAUUUAAUUAUCUGUCGUAUACUGCAUUUAUUCCAUUUUUGUUCAACUUAGAGAAAUAAGCAAGUAAAAGAUCGAUCUUCUUAUUCCAAUUAUAUAUGUAUCGUUUUUAAAUUGUUUACAACCUAGUAAUAGCAAUUAAAUACUAAUACGGUAAAAAACAAGCUAGCUAUCAUAUAAAGUAUGUUGCAUGUACAUUGUCUCCUGCUGAAGCUAUUUAUAUACAAAUACAUAUAUACCUUUUCAUACGCUGUUCUUACCGAUUAUUCACCGUCAUUAUUUUUUUGUUUAGUACACAUACGUACAUAUAUACAUGUGCCUUGUAACCUGCCACGCCAUGUUUUUUUUGGUUAAUUACAUAGAGAUCUCAUCAGCCCAACCAACAUCUUGAGCAAAUGUACAAUUAAAAUGUCUUAUCUAAUAGGCUAAAAUAUAUUUGCUUUGCUACGAGCUUAAUUAACUAAACAAUUAAUAAUAUUAAUUUCUAGUACCCUCUCUGAAGAAGAAAAUAAAGAACAUAAUUAUAUCCAAGGACUUAGCUAGCAAGAACGUGCAUGAGAAAUCAUCAAUUGUACUCCUACAAAACCUACUGCACAAAGCACAACACAUCCUUACAACUCACAUAAAGUAUAAAAGUUUUUUUUCCCCCAAUUUUUACCUUUUUUUCAAUAUGAAAAAAAGGGUACCAAAUUAAAGAUUAAAAGUUGUAUAACUUUUGGGCAAUGUGGGGUGGUGCGUGAACUGUGAGAUUGGCUUUUCCUCAGCUCGUUUGGCUUUUCCUCAGCUCCAUCCCAUGUACUAAUAAACAUUGUCAUCCUCCUCCAUCCUUUACACCAUGGCCUAUGUCUCUCGGUGUCAGGGACAUACAUACAUGCAUGAGAUAAUGCUAACUCUAGCUAUUCCGAGAUUCCUCAUCAAUAUUAAUUACCAUGCACACAUUCCUAUAAUUUUUUUUCGAGUAGAUAGUACGUUACCCGCUUCUUUUAUUUUAUUUAGAAAUAAAUUUAGCUGAAAAUAUAAAUCAACUAUGAUUCGAACUUGGAUCUCGGAUACCAACCACCAAAUUCUUUAUCAUUUGCUUUAGGGACGGUCGGUCACACAUUCCUAUAAUUAAUACUAUUUUACUUUAUUUCUCUUUUAUUACCAUUCUAGCCCUCAAGUCCUCUAUAUAUACCAUCCCCCACUCACAACAUUCCCUCACUACUACACCUUCUUUAAUUGGCCCUCACAACACUACUACUACUAUAGGCCUUUUAAUUAAUUAAUUAGUGCACUACUUUAGGCCUUUGAUCACCAUGGCCACAGCUGAGGUAGCUCAAUCAAUUAGCUCCAUUGAUUUCUUCUUUUUUUUCUUUUUUUUUUUUUUCGCUUGCUGAUAUAUAUGUAGAGUAGAACUUGACAAAUUAAUUAAAAGUUUGUAGCUUUUUCAGCUGCGAAAACAGUAACUCUCAUUUAGAAUUUUGAGUAGUAGCUCAACUCGAACAAAGGAUCAUCCAUCAAAUGAGCUCUUAGAGGAUGUGAUCGAUGUGAUGAUAUGAUGAUCCGAAAACUGUAUAUCUUGUUGCAGGUCCAAUCGGUGACUGAUGUGUUGCUCGCGGAGGAGAAGGUAGAGAAGCAACCGAUUGCGGCCGAAGAACCUCCGAAAGAGGUAGUGGCGGCGGAGGCGGAGGCGGAGGCCAAGGCCGAGGAGGCGGCUCCGAAAGAAGAAGAAGCGGCCCCACCGCCGCCCGUGGAGGCCGAAGAGACUAAGGAGGAGGCAGCAGAAGAGAUCUCUACUGUUGUUGCUGAGGAGGUAAUUGAGACUAAAGAUGCAGAUGCAGAUGCAGAGGCCGAUCAACCAGUCGUAAAAGAGGAAGCAACAGAGGACAGGAAAGAAGAGGCCGCUGCUGCUGACGUGGCGGAGGAGAGCCAGGUGGCAGCUGAAGUGGCGGAGGAGAUCCACGUGGCAGAUGACGUGGCGCCCGCUGCGCCUGCUGAGGUGGAGGAGAAGAAAGAGGAGGUGGCAGCGGCUGAGGAAGUACAGGAAGAAGCAGCUGAGAAGAGUGAGUAGAUGAUCUCGUGUGAAUGAGUUUUUGAGUUUUAUUAUUAAUUAAUUAAUUAAUGGGCGUGUGCUACAGUUAGUGUGAGAGGGGACGGGCUCAGAGAAUAAAUGUUGGGCCUUUUUGGGCCUAGUUUUUUCGUUGGUUUUUAUUAUCUGGUGUGGGGCUUUAAUUUAGAGCUUUUGUAUUAAUGUGUCUGUGCUACUUAAUAAAUCUCUAGAAUUUUAUAUUAUAAUAAUGCUUUUGUGCUAGUAAAUAAUCUCUCUAUAUUCUUAAAAAAACAAAACAAAAAGAAAAAGAAGAAAAUCUCUAUUUGAGUAUGAGGGCUGGGCGAAGUCCACACAUGUUCCUGCGCAGUUUAAACCCAAAUGUGUCCAUAAUCACCGCUCAAAUUAGAAAAAUAAGUGAUGUGUAUAUAGAUAACAGAGUCAUACAGAUGCUAAAAGAUUAUUUAUAAUUUCUUCACUGAGAAUUAAUCUAAAACUAUCAAAAGCAAAUUGGAUAUAUUAUAAACUUCCAUAAGAACUAUGGAUGUGAUUAAAAUCUAUAAAGGAAAAAAAGGUAUAUAUAUAGAGAGAGAGAGAGAGAGAGAGAGAGAGAGAGAGAGUUAAGCUGAAAUGCUAUCAGUAGCAAACGAGUUUAUUUGCCACUUAUUUAUUUUUGAUGAUGAAACCUCCAAAUCGACGAUCGGUAUUGUUGAACAUGAUUUAUACUACUUGAAGCAUUUAGAAAUCUAAUUUUAUAUUUUUUCGGCAUCAUUCACCUAAUAAUUAAGGAGUUUCAAUCAUGCAUUUGAGAGGCAUGCUUGCUAUUCUAAAUGAAUACUUUUAUUGAAAACCAUUAAAAAAAAUUAAAAGGAUGAAAAUUUAUGGACAGUGCCUAUAAAUACUAUUCAAUAUUGAAGAACUGGUCAUUGAUCUUAUUCACUCAAUGAGUCUAGUUUCUGAACUUCUUCAUAUAUUAUAAUAAUAGCUUGAUUACUAAAAUAUUAGAUUUUUUUAAAAAUAAAUUAGUUCGGGCAUAUUUGAAUAGGAAAUUACUUCACACAAGAGAUAAAAAAGGCUAUUUCAUUGAAAGAAAAAAAGGACAUUUUUAACUGUUAAGAAUAAAUUUGUUAUAGAUAAAAAGAGGUUUGUGUGCAAACUUAUUGGUUAAAAAUGGACAAGGAUUCUCUCCUAUUGGUUAAAAACUUUAGCGAGCCCAUUUUGAAAAAGGCUCAUCAACUAUUUUAAAUUUUUUCAUUAAAUUAUUUAUAUUAAAUGUCAUUAGAAGACUUUUGAUUUUAAUUAUUCAGAACAUUUUUUUUUAUAAGCUAUGAACUACAAAUUUUUUGGGAAAACUUCAAAAAAAACCCCCUGUGGUUUUGUAGUUUCUCACGUUGCCCCCUAUAGUUUAAAAUAUAUCAAAUUCCCCCCCCUGUGGUUUCGUUUUUAUUUUUUUGGUAGCUUUUUUGUUAAUAUUUUAUUAAAUUAUAUACAAAAAAACUUUAGAUACCCAUCUAGAUUUACCAAAUAUUCACUUUAGUACCCUUUAAUUUUAACUUUAUCACUGAUUUAAGAAAAAAAAAUAAAAUUGAUAAGAAAAAGAGUUUUGAAACCACAGGGGAGCAAAUUGAUAUAUUUUAAUUCAUAGGGGAGCAAAGUUAGAAACUAUGAAACCACGGGUUUUUUUUUUUUUGAAGUUUUCCAAUUUUUUUUUGUUAAAGUUUAAUGAGCCCUCAGAGUCCUAAUCCUAGUCAUUCUCUGAGAGCCGCGUCACGUGCGUCGUCACGCGUGGUCUGAGGCUGCAACGGUCAUAUCGCUUGCCAUAUAAACAGAGCGGGAAGAGAAUUUUCAUUCGCUCGAUGAGCGCGAGCGAGCUAGCGAGAGAGAGAGAGAGAGAGAGAGAGAGAGAGAGAAGCGAGAAGGGGUUGGAGAGGGGAUCGUGCUCCAAGAACGCUUCUCAGGUGAGAGCAAUCGUUGCAUUUGCUUGUAGAAAAUGUUUGCUUCGAUUACAUUAGGGUUCUGCAUCCGUUUAAUUAGGAUUUUUAUUUAGUAGAUCGUCAUAUCGGGUGUCAGAUCGUUAUGUUUUUCUCAGAUUAGUUGUUCUUUUCUUUGUAUUUACCACGAUUUUCGUCUCUAUUUGUUAUUAACAUGUUUUCUUUUUGAUCUUUUUGAUGAAAUCGGUGGGAGAUCAAGUGGUGCGAUUCAUCGGUAAAUCCAUCUCAGGUACGUUAGUUCUUGACCCGUUUUUAGGGUUUUUAUUUAGUAGAUCAUCGUUUGAUUUAGAUGGUUGUCUUUUUGUUCCGAUGAAAUCCGUCAGCUCGCUGAUUAGUUUUUAUUUUCAUUUAUUUAACACGAUUGUGAUCUCUAUUCACUGUUUGAUCUUUUCAUGAAAUUCUUGGGAGAUCGAGGGAUGCGAUUCGUUGCCCACUCCAUCUCUUUGCUGGAGCGCCCUGUCUGGUGAGAGCAAUACUAAUAUAAUCUGUUGAGAGUAGUUUUCAUUUUCUUUUGUUUAACACGUUAAGUGUGUAUAAAUAGCCUAAAUUCAAUUCAUUCUGUCAAUAAGUAUUAUCUUGAAUUGAUGGGUCUCAAAAUGUUUAUUCACAUUCAAAUUUGUGCCUUGCAUCAUUAAUCUGCAGCCUAUUAAUCAACACCAUACUCUAUAGAUGGUCUUUACAGAAAAUACAGUUUGUGCAAAGUAGUUCGUUGAAUUAUGAAUCCAUAUAUAUAUAUAAUUUUUGGUACCCUACUACUUGUUGUUCAUGUAAUUAAAAAGGCAGUUGAAAGAUUUUGCAAUGCUGUUGUGACGCCUGGUUGCUGAAAUGAAAUGGCAGCGAUGACCUAAAAAUUGCUUGAUAUAUCUUUGUAACAACAGCUGACUUACUUCGUGUAGCUGUUUUUAUUUUUGUCUCUUCAUAGUGCUUAUCCUCACUCCUUAGGUUUAUUACUAAUUGGUGAGCCACAAAUGCUUUAUGCAAUAUCCGUUAGGUUUGCAAUUCUCCCAAGAGGUGGUCAUUUUCCAACAUUUCCUUGCUGAUCUGUUCUAACUCCACAGAUCUGUAUCUGAGAUACGCUGGGCUUGGAGAGAGUUUGUUUUCUUUCUUUUUUCCAUUUUGACUUCAUCUUCUUUUUCUUAUGCUUUUUCCUUUUUGCCUUAAAAUUUUCUCUUAGAUACGAAGUCACUUGGAAGCUGUAUGACUUUCUGGAUUCUUCUGCCCAUCUUGCUUCAGUUUUUACAAUGUGAUCCAGAUGCGCUAUGUGAUACUUAGUGUAGUUCCCUGUAAUAUGAGGUUCCCGGAUCCAUCUACUCCUAGCUUGAAGGUUAGUGCAACAUUGCAUGGUAUUUAGUGCAACAUCGCAUGGUAUUUGGACAUGGUAUUUGGACCUCUUUUUUUCUUUUAACUUUCAGUACACGGACUAUUGACACAACCGAUUGAAAAGUUGUCUGCUGCAGUAGUCGAGAUUUGGUGCCUGAAAUCACCCUAUGCCUGUGAAUUUUAUCUGAUGUUUAUGAUGCUCACAAGGAGAAGCAGAUCAAGGCUGAAAUCGCUGAGUAUCUCAAGGCAAAUAGUUUGGGCUCUGUUGCUGAUAAUCCUAAACUGACCAUUAUUUCUUGUUUUGCCUUCUUAUAUAAGAAUUAUGAUAUAGUCCCUGGUCUAUCAUCCUAUAUUGCUGGUUAAAAGCUUCUCCGACGAUGGUUAGGUCGUGGUGCUGGUAAUGUUAUGUGAAAUCACUUGCCACGUUCACUUCUUAUACAAAGUUUCUGUUUGUCUUAUUAAAUAACUUUUUUCAUUAGUACAUGUUGGUGGAUUACUAGGUUAUGUAUUUGGUAAAAAUAAGCAUUAUUAGGUUUUGUAUUUAGUGAAAAGCUCUUGUAGAGUUUUGGUCGGUCGAUUAAGUCCAAGUUUUGACUAUUAUUCUCAUAGGUCUUCUAUCAUAUGAAGAGAAAUGACGCAGCAAAUUAGUUUGUUGUUGACUCUGAAUCCCAUGUCGUUUAUGGCUGAGAUAUUUGGAGUCUAAUUCACUCUGUCUAAUUUAUCAUUUGAAGGAAGGUGAACUGGACAAAAUUUUAUCAAUUGAAGUCUUAUGCUGAGUCUAUCUUCCAGAGAGAGGACACUAAUGGAAGAGGCUUUCAAUAGGUGAUGUUGAAUAGGUUCAUCUUUGAAAUUUGUAAUGUUAUAAGAAAGUGUAUCUUGACUUUUUAUAUCUUAGCAGCGCCAAAACUUAAUUCAAAAAAGUUUGGGCUUUUGUACAUAUUAGCAGUGCCAGUGUGCGAACAGAAAGGGUAUCUGCACUUUGUAUAACUUAUGAGUAACAAAACAUAGUUGAAGAUGUUUUCUGAUUUGCAUUUUAGUGCUUAACAGGUUACUAAAAAAACGCUCAAGUUUUUGCUGAUUAUGUGGACUAUUACCAGAUGAAGUUGUUACUAUUUUUCUCCUAAUGUAGUGCUUAUUAUCUUAUGUAUUACUUGUUUAACUCUGCUUGGUUUGAGUUGGUGAGCCACAAAGCUUAAUUCAAAUAUUAGAUAUGCAAUUCCUAUGAGGUUUCCUCCAAUGUUUUCUUGUUGAUCUGUUCAAAAUCAUGGAUCCAUAUUUGACAAAUGCUGAACUUGGAGAUCCGGUUUGUUUUCUUCCACUUUCCUGUUUGAGUUUUAACGUUUUGAGUUUUUCUUUUUCUUAUGGCUUUUCCUUUUGCCUCCCAUUUUUCUCUCAGGUGCAAAAACACUCUAAGGCACUGCUUGUAGAUCCAUUUCGGAAACUUCGAGCUUGGAGAGAAUACACUUUAAGGCGCUGCUUGUAGAUCCAUUUCGGGAAACACUGAGCUUGGAGAGAGUUUGUUUUCUUACUUUUUUCCUGUUGAGUUAUAACAUUUUGAGUUCUUCUUUCUUUUUCUUAUGUCCUUUCCCUUUUGCCUCACAUUUGGCUCGCAGGUACAACGACACUUUAAGGUGCUGCUUGUAGUGCUGUAUGACAUUCUAGAUUUCCUUGCGAAUGCUGCUUCAGUUUUUGCAAUGUGAUCCACAUGUGUGAUGUGAUUCUUAGUGCAUUCCCUUGUAAGAUGAGGUCCCCCUGGCCCCUGCGAUCAAUCUACUCCCAAUCAGGUGAGUGCAACAUUUCAUGAUUAUUAGACAUCCAUUUAAGUAGUCAAAAGCGUUGCACUACUUUAGAUUGAUUUGCUUGAUGAAAUUGCUCUAUGCUUGAGAAUUCAUUUGAUGUUCAUGAUACUCUCAGGGCUAAGCAAAUCAAGGUUGACAUUGAUGAGUAUCUCAAGUAAAUAUUAAGUAACAUUUUAAAUCAUUUCUGUUGCUGAAAAGCAGAUCAAGGUAAGUAUUGUUUUUUACCUAGUUCUGUGGCACCGGUUAUACGAUUAUUAAGUAACAUUUUGAAUUGUUUCUGUUGCUGAAAAUCCUGUGACCUACUAUUGUUUUGAGCUUCCAUAUUGAAAUUUCGUAUUCUUGUUAAAUUCUAGCUCUCUAUAAGUUCGCAUCUAUGCCUGAUAUUAUUAUCGAUUUGAGUGUCUAACUUGCUCCAUUGCUAUGUUUUACUGCAGACACAACCAGACUGAUCUUCCCUUUUAAGUGAUCUUAUACAGAUAUUACUAAUUCCAGUAUUAUGUCUAUCAAUGUAGUAUCACAAACUUGACCCUCUAUCGAAGGGAGUGUAAAUGGGCUGGCCGGCCCGUGGGAUGGCCCAGCCUGGCUGCGGGCCGUUUCUAGUUGGCCCGCAGCUUGGACGGCACAGCCCGCGCCAUGGGUGCGAGCCAGUAGGCACCUUUUUCUUGUUUUUUAUUUUUUAUUUUUUCACUUUCCUUAGUAUUUUUUAAACUUUCAAACAUAAAAAUUUGAAUUUUGAAUAGAUUUCUUAUAAAUAAGUAUAUUUGAGCAAUUUGAAUUUUGAAUAAAUAUCUUAUAAAGUAAUAAAAAGUUAUUUAUUGAAUAAAAAAUUAUAUAUAUUUUAUAAAACUAGUGUUAAAAGAGUUGGAAAAUAUUAAUAAAUCAGUUAAAAAUAAAAAAUAAAAAGAAAAAUAUGGAUUGGCUUACAACCUGGUAAUGUCCUGGCCCGGCCUGGCUUGUUCAGGCUAGGGGCUGUGUCAUGCUAUGGUCUGGUAAAAAGUGGCCUAGCAUGGCACAGCAUGGAUUUGGAUUUGUGCCAUGCCGGGCCACCCCGUGGCUCAGUUCGGUCUGCCCCAGAGCCCAGUUUGGCCUAUAGAGAUGUGGGCCGUGCUGCACAUUACACCCCUGCCUCUAUAUGAAAUUCACAAUUUUUGGGAGGAUAUCACAAUAGACGCAUGAUAUAAAUAUUCCUUUAUAGAGUAACAGCUUUUAUCUUCCAUAUCAUAAUUUUGGUGAUGAUAAUAACACAGGUACCACACAUUCUGUUUUGAAUUUUGGUUGAAAUGGGAUUGCAUGCAUCCUUGCAGCUGCAGUAAUGGCACCGAUUAUGAGACGAAUGGAGAAGAAAUGAGGUAGGAAGUUAUGUAGCUUAAAGUAUAACAAUUUUAAAGGCCAAGGGACUUUGUGAAGAAAAUAAAUGUGGUAAUUAAUUUAUGCAGGUAAAGACUUCUACAUUCCUAUGGUUUUCUUUGCAAUCUGAAAGUUUUUGUUUUUUUGAGAGAAAGGUAGCUUGCUAUUCGCUUCAAUCAUUUUUUUUGAAAUAAAUUUAGCUAGAAAUGUGAAGCAAUUAGGUUUCGAACUUGGAACCUCGAGUACCAACCAUCAAGCCCUUUGCAAUCUUAAAGUUAUCUCAUUCUUUUGUAUACCCUAAUUUAUGAACUAUCUUCUGGGGGCUUGAAGUAUUGGUGCCACAUCAAGUAGUCUCCCGGAAUUGAGACAGCAAUGUGGUAAUAAUGCCUGCAUAUUUUGAGUAUAUUUUCAAGUAGGACUUGGACACAAGUUGAUGGAAGAAUCCAAAUACAAGUCCAUCAAACAUUACUAUUGGUGGAAAUUUCUUAGUUAUCACCUAUAAAAAGAUUGAAAGAAAACUAUUUUUCUAGCAUCUGCUCAAUAGGCUAGCAGGCAUGAAGUCUUGAUCUUUGUUCUUUUGCUUCAACCCUUGUUUAAGACUGCAUUGUGAGCCUCGACUAACCACAAAUAUUAUUCUCCAUCUGCAUCAGAUGGAAUAAUUCGUGCCAGGUUUUGGUCAUUUAUGAUGUAGAUUGUGUUGGCCCUAUUUGUCUCCAUUUAUUACUUUUCCUUUUCAUUUUGUUUUAUCGUAUUUUACUUAGUUUUUAUUUUAUCUUUUUUUGGCUAUGGUAUUGACUUCAAGUCAACAGAUAAAAGUUCCAUACUGUGUGGUCCUCAUCAUUCUCCUUGAGUUACUAAUGUAGUCAAUAUCUUAGUUUUUGUUUUUUUCCCCCCCUUUUUUGUGUGUGUAGCUGCGUGAGCUGACGACCAGAAGAAAAAUCUCAUCAGUGGCCCAUGAAAGCUACCACCAGCAAGCUCUGAAACAUUGCUGCAGUUGCCCUCAACCUGCUUCUGGGGAGUUGUACACCGAAGGACAAACAUCCAAAUAAGUUGCUUUAUCUGCGCUUAAGGAACGAGAGGUAAAGCUGCCUUUUAUCUUUCUGCUAUUUACUAGCUGGAAAUUUUUGCGUACAUACCACUGGUAAUACACACAUUUGCUUGUGCACACCUCAAAUUUGUACGCUGUGUUUAAACCCUUAGAAGAGUUAUCUUCUAUUUGUGUAUGUGCUUUUUCACCUAGAAAUAUCUCAUAUUUGCAUGUGCGCCUUAGCUUGAAGGCUUUCAUACUAAAACGGUGGCACAAUUCGAGGGGACAUGUACUCAAAUUUGUACUAUUUCUGCAGGUGUAGGUGCAAAAUAUAACUUUUUAAUAAGGGGUAUGCACAUGAUUCAAAUUGUUUCUAGGGGGUAGGCGCGACACUUAUUGAAAUGUACGCAUGCAAGUACGUGGUAUAUAUAUGAAGAAAGAUCUGUUAAAUUAGUCUAACUAGAUUUCUCAUAUUUCUUAAAAUUAAGCGUUUGAAAUUUCAAGUAUUUAAGUUCAUUCCACUGGGCAUAAAAUUGUGGAAUUAUACCAACCCGUUUUGCUUAAUCCUUGCAUCACAUACAUAUUAUCCAACAAUUUUCUUUUCCUGAAGCCAAUAGAAAUUUGUUAUAUUAAUACAAUUAAGUUAGAACACCAUGUAACUUUUUAAAUUCUCGAAGUUGCCUGUUGGUCAGGGCAGUCCAAGUCGUUAUUUUUGUUCUCGUACUCAUUAAUAUCACCAGUAAGGGUGUCUUUGUCUUCUUUUUUUUUCCUUCCAAAUUCUAGUGAUUUAGAUUCUAUCUUCAAAGUUCCGUUCAAAGCAGUAGUAGUUAAUAAAGACGUCGAAAAUGAAGAGUAAGUUGUUGUGUCCUGUGAUGAUGAUAGGGCAGGCUGAGUUGGAUGGUAAACUCGGUCGUCUUCAAAACUAGUAAAAAAAAGAUUCGGAGAGAAUGAUAAUCCGAGCGGUUGAGUGGUCAUGUAAUUACUAAUUAGAUUAUCGCAUCGAAGCUAUAAUGUCGCUUUGGCUAGGUCAAUAGCAACGGGUCAAGUUGAGUGGUCCCAUGGAUCAAAGUUUCUCUUACAUUGGUGUUAGGGCCCAUUUGCUGUUUCAAGAGUACUCAUUUAGGACUGCCAUGGCCUGUAAAUGAAACUCGGUUUGCACUCACUCUUGGGUCUAAGUAUUGCGGAACCCACCAAAUUAGGGUUCAUAAUAUGGAACUGGACGGUGCUUGAUUCAAUGGUCUCCCGAGCAUGACGGUAUUUAAUUGUAUAGAUUAGGGCUCUUAAGUUUGUAUCUAUCCGCUUAAUUGCUUGGUUGAGUCAAAUUGAGAGUGACAAUUCGUUGGUUGCUGGAAUCGAAACUGGUUCUUGUAAAAUAUAGCUAUCAAAUUUAAUCCACCAGGCUAAAGGACAAGUGAGCAUUUUGUCGAGUUUUAAGUCCCAGGAAAACUAAAUCGAUUUGAUAUAGGCUACUGAGAGCAAGUUACUUUUUAGAUAGGAUGAGAUAUAUUUGUUCCUACGGCCCUAAUCAAACUUUGGUAUAUUGUUAGAGUUUUGGCGAAUGAUUUAAUUGCUCAGCCGAAUUAGAUUGGGGUGGGAUAUUUGUUCGUUGGAUGAAAUCAAAAUUGGUAGAGGACUUUUGAAGUAACAAGUUGAUUUGGAGGUCCUGCAUCUAUUGAAGUAGAGUUAUCAGGAGUAUUGUUAGAUAAUAAUGAGUCUUCUAUUUAAAUAACACUCCACCUUAAUGCAGAGCCAAGCAAGCUAUAUAGCUGAUGUAUACGUCUGGUCGAGCCAUCUAGAGCUUUAGAAGAAACAAAAAUAUCUCCCAGACCAUGCUUACCUGAUGUUCUAUCAACAUUUCUAUAUCGCUAACAUGAAUAAACACAUCCCAUAUGAGAAGCGAAAAUCUUAAAUUAGAGAUCUAUAUAGAUAUUAUAAGUUGUUGUUGGAUUUUCACUAUCUAAUAAUUAUUUUCAACUUUGAAGUGAUUAAAAAGUUAAUUUACAAGUCAUGAUUAAAAGCAUGGGAAGAUAUUUAAUUCUUUUCAAUUCUUUCCGGGUGUAAGAAUUUUUUAUUUUAUUGGGUUUCAUAUGAAAUGGCUCAUAUUAAUUGCAAAGGGGACCCCUUUUCCUUUAGCUUAGCCUUUCACUAGUGGGCGCCCCAACAACUUUUCUUUCUUAUGUACGUAAUCGGCCUAUCCCAGCCCAAUCGCAGCGCACUCAAACACAUGACACUUUUUACUAAUGUAUGGAGCUCCCCUCCAUGAUAGGAAAAAGUCUAGAAUGUACCGGUUAUAAUACUAAUGUGACGUCUCUAAUUAAUUAUAUUAUGUUUUUAGAUUAGGGAUGCAAACGGGGCGGAUCUGGGGGCGGGAGACCCGCCCCAGCGCUCCGAAUCUGCCCCGCCAACUAAUAUUUUUUAUAAAAUUAUAAUAUUAUUAAUAUUUUGUAAAAUAUAAAUUAAUAAUUUUUAAUAAUAUUAUAUAUAUAAUUUAACAAUAUUAAUGGUAAAAAUUAAAAAUAUCAAUCACAAUUCAAAACAAAAUUCAAAUAUUUCAAAUACAUUAGAAAUGAGAGUAAUAACUUAUUUGUAUUUUAAACUUUUUUUAUAAAUAUAUUAUUUUUUGGGAAUAUUUUUUAAAAAUACAAAUGAUAUUCGGGGCGGAUUCGGGGCGGAUCAUGGGGGGGCGNGAGAUUCGGGGCGGAUUCGGGGCGGAUUCGGGGCGGGUCAAAAUUUUUCCCGUUUCCUGCCCCGAAUCCGUUUCGGAUCGUAAAAUUUAUCCCGUUUUCUGCUCCGAAUCCGUUUAUUUUCUCCCAUUUACUGCUCCCGUCGGGGCGGAUCGGGGCGGGAGCUCCACCAACCCGGAUCCGUUUGCAUCCCUAUUUUAGAUUCACCGGUCCCAUCAUGGUUAAAAUAAAAAAGAUAUUUUUAUUAUACUUUUGCUCAAAUAAAGAGAUAUGAUUGGGUUGGUUAUUGAUGAUGUGGUGUAAGUGAUGACUUUUUUGUUUUAACUUUUUCCAUUGAGACUCUUCAUUUUUAAUUUUACAAAGUAAAUUAUUCUACUCACUAAGGUAUCGUUUGAUUCGGGAAUAAGCAAAAAAUGGUUAUUCCAGGGAUUGGUGUAAAUUGAGGUAUAAGUGGGGAUUAGAUUAAUUUUGCGUUUGCAUGAAAAUUAGAUUAUUCAUGGGAAUAAAAAAAUAGCGUUUGGUUAGGUAAAAUGGAAUAAGAAGGAUAGUGGAUUUUAUAAAUAAAAAAUAAUGAUAUUACCCUCUUAUUAUAUUUGAAUUUGAAUUUUUAAAAUUUAAAAUUUAUAUUUUUAAAUUUAAAAUUUUAACUUUGAAAUUUUAAAAUUUGAAAUUAAAAUUUAAAAUUUAAAAUCUUAAAUUUUAAACUUUAAAUUUAAGAUCAAAUUUAAAUUUGAAAAAUAUAAAAUNAAACUUUAAUUUUGAGAUUACAAAUUAUAAAUUUUAAAAAUUUAAAAUUUUAAUUUUUAAAUUUUUAAAAUAAGAAUAGGGUGGGAACAAUUAAUAAAAAUAAUAUAUCAUAAUAAAUUUAUAAUUUUUUUAAAAAUUUUACUUAAACUUAAAUUUAAUAAAAAGAAUUUAUUAUGAUAUUUAAAUAUAAUUUAUUAUAAAUUUUAUUAUAAUAUUUAAAUAUAAAUAAUAUGUAUUAAUAUAGUACAAUUAAUAAUUUUAUAAUAAAAAAAGAAUGAAUUAUAAUAUAUAACAUAUUAUAUUUAUAUAAUUUAGUUUUAAUUCAAUUUAUAAUUUUAAUUAAGUUUGAAAUUAAAUAUUAGAAUAGCAUUAUUCCACUAAAAUAGUGGAAUAGUAAAUUUUUUGCUAUUCUGGGAUAACUAGGAAUAGCAAGGUUUGACCGGAAUAAAAUAUUUCGAUAAAAUAUCACCCCCUUUGGCGGAAUAGCGGGGAUAACGAAACCCCCGAACCAAAUGAUCUGUAAAAUUUUUAUCAUUUUUUCCCACUAAAAUUCCGUAUAAAAAAAUUGAAAAUGAGGGGGACUUUAAUCGACAAGUGCAAAGUUGAGGCGGUCAGUUUGAAAUGAUCUGUAGUGGAGAAAUUUAUUCAUAUAUUUUUUGUGUAAAGUAUAUAUAUUCUAUUUGCUAAUGUAGAGGUAACAUUUUUCUUUUUUUUGAGAAAUAGGUGGCAUGCUAUUCAUUUCGUUUAUUUCAUUUAGAAAUAAACUUAGCUAAAAAUAUGAAUCAACUAGAAUUCAAAUUUGGAACUUAGAUACCAACUAUCAAGCCUUUUGUCAUUUAUUUUAGAAACGGUUAAAAAUAAUAUUUUUUAUUUUUAUGUAUAUGUAUAUAUAUAUAAUUAUAUUUAUAUUUAUAUAUGCACAAGAAAAGGUAACGCGCAAAUGGACGCGGCGCACGCCCAACCAGUCAACGUGGCCGCCAGGGAGAGGCUGCUGUCGUGUCGGCCCCACCAGCCCUGUCAGUGGAAGCGCGGUGGCUGGAAUGGGUGACAGAUUGUAGACAGCGUAGAUUUGGACAAUUAUUCUGGUGCGGAUUUUUCUUUUCCCCCUUUUAUUUUAUUAUUUUAUAUAUACACACCAUUUUAAAAUAAAAAAAAAUACUAUCUCUAUAUGUAUAUAUAAAUAUAAGUUUAUAUCUUAUUAUAUUUUAAAAUUUAUGAAAAUUAAAAUGAAUAUUAAUAAAAAAAUAAUUAGAUGAGAGAGAGAAUAUACGUCAUUAGAUGAGUAGGAUAUAUAUCGUACUACUGACCGAAGGUUUACAGAUAAUAUUAUUUUUUUAAAAUAAGAUAUGUUCGUUGAUACGGAGUCUCAUAUAGUCCUAUUCACUCAUUUCUAAUCACAAAAAAAAAAAAAGUUAAGUUGUUGACUAUGACUUGUACGUCAAUUGAUUAAUAAGUAAUAAAAAUAGUUAAAAAUAUAGGGGGAUAUUUCCAAAUAUAGGCCAUUUAGAAACAGUACUCUCAAUUUUCUUUUUUUUUUUUAAAAAUAUUAUUUGAGAGACCUCCCUCUCAAAUUAUAAAUUGUUUUAUUUGAUUUUUUUAAUAUUUAUUUAAGUUAAAGAUUUUAUCAUUUUCAAUGACUAUUUUAGUCAUUAACUAGUAAUUGACCUAGUUUUAUUUAUUAAAAAAAUAAUUAAAUUUUGAUAAAAUUACUAAUAAAUUCGAUAAGUUUUAAAAUUUUUGACCUAAAUUGCUUAAUUUGAAAAAAAAAAUUGAGGGGUUUAUACAUUUUCACCGUAUAAAUAAAUAUCAGUAUUUGGAAUGUGUGAAAUAGGACCACCAUACUUCUUACUAGGUGGCCCGAUGCGCACAUGCUUCCAGCUAGAUAUACUUUAUAUAUAUAUAUAUAUAUAUAUAUAUAUAUAUAUAUAUAUAUAUAUAUAUAUAGACUGGAAUUACUAUACUCUUAUGAGUAUAGAACCUCUUGUACUCAUAAAUUUUUAACCGUUGAUUNAUAUAUAUAUAUAUAUAUAUAUAUAUAUAUAUAUAUAUAUAUAUAUGAGUAGGGCUACUGUGCUCUCAGGAGCACGAAGGCUUCCGUGCUCCUGAGCCAUUUUCGAUGAUGGAAUUUUCGAAUUGACGAUCGGCUCAGUUAGACUUGAUCUAGCGCAUUUGAAGUUUCUAGAAAAUAAUUUUUGUGAUUUUUUGAUAUCAUUUACUUAGUGAUCGAAAAGAUUCAAAAUUCAUAAUUUUUAUUGGUUGAUAUCUGCCGUUUUCAAAUUUAACGUUGUAGAAGUAUUCAAAUCAGAUGAAAUUUUGAUAUAAAAUUUUUAUACUAUCUGCAACAAAAUCAAUAUUUCUAAUCGAAAAUUUUAGUGCUAUAUUACCACUUUUUUAUAGAAUUUUUAUUUUCAGCCGUUAAAAAUUAUUGAUUUUGAAUCCUUUCGAUUGCUAGGUAAAUGAUAUCGAAAAAUCGCAAAAAUUAUUUUCUAGAAACUUCAAAUACGCUAGAUCAAGUCUAACGGAGCGGAUCGUCGAUUUGAAAAUUUUAUAAUCGAAAAUAGCUCAGCAGCACGGAGACCUCCGUGCUUCUAAGAGCAAAGUAGCAUAUAUAUAUAUAUAUAUAUAUAUAUAUAUAUAUAUAAAAGCAGUUGAAGAAUUAAUUUCGACAUUGGUGCCCAUGAUUCAUUCAGAUACAUUAAUUUUUAAAUCCGUUUUAAUUCCCAAACGUUAGUUCCAAAGGAAUAUAAAAAUAUUGCGCAUGUCGCUGUCCAAUUAAAACCUGUCAUGUGAGCAUGCAGUUAUGUGAGGCGCCCGCAAGAACGUUCCAUACUUAAAAAAAGAGAAAAAAAAUCGGUACCCCAAAAGCUCAAUAUUUUAAUUGGAUCAGCUACCACUCUUUUUUUUUUUUUGUCCCAGUGCUCUUUUGAGCUCUGCAUUAAGCACGCGUGACAUCUCGAACUCAUUAUUAUUAGACUCUCUUUUUUCUGAUACUUUAACACUAGACCAUUAAUUAUGUAGUAGUGUAUUUUUUUACAUUAUACCUCAGCAUCUUCUUGCGUUUCGGGCAUACGAUGAUGCCGUUUCGGGCAUACUAUGAUGUCAUGUUGGUAAAAAAUUUAAAAUUUUGAAUUUAUUUAAACUUUAAAUUUAUUUAUUAAUUUAUUAUUUUUAUUUAUUUUAUUUUAUUUUAUUAUUUUUUUUAAUGAGAAAGAAACUAACGGAAUAUUUACGUUCCGUUUGUUGCGCCAAACGGAAUUGCGCCAAAAGGAAUUUCAUUCCGUUGUGAAUUCUCUUUUUUCUUUUUUAUAUAUUAUUUUUUUUUUCGCCCCUAUUAAGAAUGAGAUUUAAAUAAUUUGUUAAUCUUUAUCUAUUCAUCUUUUAUUUUUUACUAUUCGAGUAUUCUUCUUAUCCACCGGGUGUUGAGAAUCUCCGUCAAUCUUCUUCACGAUCGUGCUCGUAGGAGGAGAAAUUUCGAUCGUACCUUAGGGUGUUAUUUCCGAUUAAUUCUGCACGUAAGGACGGAAAUACGUCUUAGGACAGUGCCUCGCACGUUUCUGGAUAAGAUAAACAUCUUUAUUGGAAUAUUUUCGUUUAUCUGUAAGUUUGAUUUUAUUUUUAUCACAAAAAUAAUUAGAUUUUAAUCACAAUCGAAUUUUCGUUUCGGUAUUUGUUCUAACAUAGUAUACUAUCCCUUGCCUUUGUUCAUCGAGCUCCCCCCCNUCGGUAGUUGGUUAAAUAGUAUAAUCUAACGUGUGGAAAUGAUUAUGAAAUAAAUUUAAGGGUCGAAAACUUAUAAGUAUAAGGGAGCCAAUAUUCAUAAAAGUAUAGUAGCCGGACUCUCUCUCUCUCUCUCUCUCUAUAUAGGCUAGGGCUAUUGUAUUCUUAUGAGUAUAAUCUUUUUUGUACUCAUAAAUUUUUAACUAUUGGAUAAAAAGAUAUGCAGUUAGGAUAAUAGUGGUCUCCGGUUAGGUUAAUAGUGGUCCCUUAGGGUUGAGUAGGUGGUUGGUUGAAUAAUAUGAUCUAACGGAUGGAAAUAAUCAAAGGAGUAGAUCUAACGGUAAAAAACUUAUGAGUAUAAAGUGGACUAUACUCAUAAGAGUAUAGUAGCCGGACUCAUAUGAUAUGAUAUAUAAGGACUUUAUAUAGUAUAUAUAAUAUAUAUAUAUAUAUAUAUAUUAUAUAUAAUAUAUAUGAGUAGGGCUACUGUGCUCGUCAGGAGCACGAAGGCUUCCGUGCUCCUGACCAUUUUCGAUGAUGAAUUUUCGAAUUGACGAUCGCUAGUUAGACUUGAUCUAGCGCAUUUGAAGUUUCUAGAAAAUAAUUUUUGUGAUUUUUUGAUAUCAUUUACUUAGUGAUCGAAAAGAUUCAAAAUUCAUAAUUUUAUGGUUGAUAUCUGCCGUUUUCAAAUUUAACGUUGUAGAAGUAUUCAAAUCAGAUGAAUUUUGAUAUAAAAUUUUUAUACUAUCUGCAACAAAUACAAUAUUUCUAAUCGAAAAUUUUAGUGCUAUUAUUACACUUUAUAGAAUUUUUAUUUCAGCCGUUAAAAAUUUUGAUUUUGAAUCCUUUCGAUUGCUAGGUUUAAAUGAUAUCGAAAAGUCGCAAAAAUUAUUUCUAGAACUUCAAAUACGCUAGAUCAAGUCACGGAGCGGAUCGUCGAUUUGAAAAUUUUAUAAUCGAAAAUACUCAGCAGCACGGAGACCUCCGGCUUCUAAGAGCAAAGUAGCAUAUAUAGAUAUAUAUAUAUAUAAUAUAUAUAUAUAAAGCAGUUGAAGAAUUAAUUUGACAUUGGGCCCAUGAUUCAUUCAGAUACAUUAAUUUUUAAAUCCGUUUUAAAUUCCCAACGUUAGUUCAAGGAAUAUAAAAAUAUUGCGCAUGUCGCUGUCCAAUUAAAACCUGUCAUGUGAGCAUGCAGUUAUGUGAGGCGCCCGCAAGAACGUUCCAUACUUAAAAAAAGAGAAAAAAAUCGGUACCCAAAAGCUCAAUAUUUUAAUUGGAUCAGCUACCACUCUUUUUUUUUUUUUUGCCAGUGCUCUUUGAGCUCUGCAUUAAGCACGCGUGACAUCUCGAACUCAUUAUUAUUAGACUCUCUUUUUCUGAUACUUAACACUAGACCAUUAAUUAUGUAGUAGUGUAUUUUUUUACAUUAUACCUCAGCAUCUUCUUGCGUUUCGGGCAUACGAUGAUGCCGUUUCGGGCAUACUAUGAUGUCAUGGGGUAAAAAUUUAAAAUUUGAAUUAUUUAAACUUUAAAUUUUAUUUAUUAAUUUAUUAUUUUAUUUAUUUUAUUUUAUUUAUUAUUUUUUUAAUGAGAAAGAAACUAACGAAUAUUUACGUUCCGUUUGUUGCGCCAAACGGAAUUGCGCAAAAGGAAUUUCAUUCCGUUGUGAAUUCUCUUUUUUCUUUUUUAUAUAUUAUUUUUUUUUCGCCCCUAUUAAGAAUGAGAUUUAAAUAAUUUGUUAAUCUUAUCUAUUCAUCUUUAUUUUUACUAUUCGAGUAUUCUUCUUAUCCACCGGGUGUUGAGAAUCUCCGUCAAUCUUCUUUCACGAUCGUGCUCGUAGGAGGAGAAAUUGCGAUCGUACCUUAGGGUGUUAUUUCCGAUUAAUUCUGCACGUAAGGACGGAAAUACGUCUUAGGACAGUGCUCGCACGUUUCUGGAUAAGAUAAACAUCUUUUAUUGGAAUAUUUUCGUUUAUCUGUAAGUUUGAUUUUAUUAUCACAAAAAUAAUUUAGAUUUUAAUCACAAUCGAAUUUUCGUUUCGGUAUUUGUUCUAACAUAGUAUACUAUCCCUUGCUUUGUUCAUCGAGCUCCCCCCCCCCCCAAAAAAAGAGAAGUUAGCUACGUAGAAAGAAUGUUCGGGGCAUUAUAAUAUAUAUGGCCUACUGAUACAUGCGAGGAACAAGGAUUUAGGAAUCCUCAUUGUGCUAAGUAGAUUAAAAAAAAGAAAAGGAAGAAGAAACACUAAUUUUACGUACUAACUUUGGAGGGACGAAUCAGAAAACAUAAUAUUUGUGGAUCUUACUAAUCUUGUUCCGGAAUCGGAGCAUCAUAACAUUAAGAAAAAUACAAUAUGAUUAAAAAGUAUAAUAAUAUGAUUAAAUCUCUUAUGAGCUUCCAGUAUUAAAAAAUAAUAAUAAUAAUUUCACAUGAAUAAGAAUAUAAAAUUUUGCAUUGCUCGAGAACAAAAAUUGGAUCCCCUUUCUCAUAAUUCGUGGUCUUUUUUUUGUUUUUUUGUUUGGAAAGAGAUGGAAAAGUAAAGGAGCUCGUGUGUGCUACUGUGUUUCAACAGCCGGGUUGUAGAGCUCUGCCCGUGUCACGACUAACUCUGUGGGCCCCGUAGAUAAACCGCACCUGUUUCAGCCGCUCCCGGGCCAAGAUGAAAAUUCGAAUACGGAAAUUAAACUUAAAUUCUCCAUGCUUAGGAUUUGACUCUAUUAUCAUAUUAUAUACCUCUUAAAAGAUUAAUAUUAAAAAUAUUUUUUUAUGUUUCAAGUUAUUUCAAAUAUAUUUAUAGAGUGAAAUUCUGUUAGUGAAUUAUUAGCAAUAGCCGUUAUUUUUAUAAAAUUAUUAUUUUUUCUUCUCAAUUAUAUUUUUCUAUCAUCACCAAUUUUUAUUAUUUAUUUUUAAGUAAGGAAUAAAAAAAUACCCUUCUAUCAUCACCAACUUUUUUUAUUUGUUAUUAAGUAUAAAAGAGUUAUUUUUGAUUUUUUUUAAACACUGGUAGAUAUUUAACUCACGUUUAAUUCGGAAUAACUUAACAGAUGGUAACUACAGAAGUAUUUUUAAAUAACGGAGGAACAUAUGAGGAGUAUUUUGAAAAUAAAAAAGUAGAAAAAAAUCAGAUAUUUUCGAAGUUUUGAGAGAUACAUAGGUAGAAAUUUUUUUUUAAAAAAUAUCUAAUAUAGAAGAGGUAAAGGUUACUGUUAAUACUUCUCAUUAGCAAUCUGAUUUUAUCGGGCAAGACGGAGAGCAGAAAAAUUGAGCUUGUGUGAAAAUACAAUGCAGUAAUGAUAAUAAUAAUAGAAUAGAAUAUUAAAGUGAAAAAUAUUCAAUGCUUGCUCGUGCAAAGCUGACAGUAAAAAGUUGUCCGAACGGGUUCCACCCGUCCGGAAGCCGACAAGCAACUUCCGACCCGCGGAGGUCGGUCUACUCUUCAUUUCCAUUCCUCAUCUUAUUAAUUUUUUUUUUUAAAAAAAUAAUAGUAAUAAAAGAGAAUAACACGAGUCCACAGUGCUCAUCUCUCUCUCUCUCUCAUAUGAUAUGAUGGUGUGUGUAUGUGUAUAUAUAUAUAUAUAUAUAUAUAUAUAUAUAUAUAUGUUACCUCUCCUACACAGGAGCCAUUACUCCCGUGUGCCUCCCCCUCCGACUCUUUAGUACCUCUGUGAACAGAGGAGCCAUUACUCCCGCUUCUCUCCCUCUCUCUCUCUUCUAAUCUCCUUCUUUUGAUGCUCCGAGGUGUGUUCUCCAUCGUUGGGAUAUCUACAAUGAGGGGGAGGAAGAGGAAGCUCUCCUCCUUGCUUGGAUCUUUUCUUCUGCUUCAGAUGGGCCUGGUCAUGGCGCAGAGCACCAGCAAAUCUCCUUGGAAAACCCUAAGCGGUAAACCCUUUCUCUCUCUAGUUGUUCUUUGUUUCUUUCUUCCUUUUUUGGGGCCCCUUUUUUGGGAAAUUUUGUGCUAUUCUGGGUUGGAUCUUUCGCGGAUAGUGUUUGCUAGUUAUGUACUUGGGAUGGAAGGGGACGUUCUCUAUGUUGGUUGGGGUUUGAAUUUUGCAUGUGGGAUCAAUUCGAGGGGGAAGGGACUAGGGUUUUUUCGGCCAAUUUUGAGGUGAGAUUUCCAUACUCUUCGCAUUCUCUUUUUAGCGGCUUGGUUGGGUGAAGUGUGAUAAGGAAAGGUUGAGUGGUCUGGGGCCUGUUUGAAGAGGAAAUGUCUUUCUUUUCUUUUUCUUUUUUUUUAAAAAAGAAAUCUUUAAUCACGGCAUAAUUAAAUCUGAAAUUACGAGUAGAUAUGGCUAAACGCAAAUGCUUUUGGCGGUAGUUUCUUUUACAGCAACAACGUUCGAGUAUGUUUCAAUUCAGUGUGAUAUUAAUGCUGCUUGGGACGAUUAAACUGUAUCCUAAGCUUCGGUAGUUUAAGAUUCCUUUCAUGUUUACUCAGGUUUGACUUUUCUCACAAGAGUAUAUAUGUAUUUUUUCCAUUUUUUUUUGUUCUAUUUGCGUUACAUAUAAGUUCGGAAUUGUGCUGUAAGUAGAUAGAUGUUUAUUUGUUUUUAUGUGUAGAUAUUUGAAUCGGACUUCUCCAUCCAUGGUGCUUUAUGUUUUUAUUUCCUUUAUAUAGUCUUGUUUGGAGGCUUAUCAUCUGCCUUCAUAAUUUCAGGUAAUCCUCCGGCUAUAAUAGCCAGGGGCGGCUUUUCGGGAAUAUUUCCUGAUUCCAGUUAUGCCGCAUAUCGUUUUGUAUACUCUGCUAGCUCAGAGGAUACAGUUCUGUGGUGUGAUGUGCAAUUAACAAAGGACGGCAUUGGAAUCUGUCUACCGGAUGUUAUAUUAGACAAUUGCACUAAUAUCGCAGAUGUUUAUCCCAGUGGAAUGACAAAUUACGUUGUUAAUGGUGCGCCGAUGAGAGGGUGGUUUUCUGUGGACUAUAAUAGCUCUGAAAUUUCUGAGCUUUCUUGUAAGUACUUUAUUUAAGUUAUUUUUGUUUAUUAUGAUGCCCUGCUACAAAUGCACGUAGGAGUGCAUUGCUCUUCAUUCUAUAUGAGCUUGCUCUCAACUGUACAAAUGAGGUUGAGAGUGACAGUUUAAGACACGUCGAAACUAGCGGAAAAUUACGUAAAUAUCAAAAACCCAUGAAGCUCAUUAUGGUGGUGAUCGUGUUAGCUAUUCUAGUUAACCAUGGUUAAUGCCGUCUACUUUUCGAGGGCCUUGCACUUAUACGAACCAUUCAUUUAGCUUGAGGGGAAAAACAAAAAAUCUGUCGAGCUGGGGGAGCUCCAGGCUUUGAUGGGCACCGCGUGAUGUCUGCCCACGCGGCACCCAUUGGGAUAGGGAGUGCUCUUUCACGCACAUAGCAAAAAUCUCUCACCUGCUUGCCCGUAACAGUUGCACAAACUCAAAGGGGCGCAAUUUUGGUGGCUAAUAUGGAUUAUUCUAAAAGUUGUUGCUGAGUUCGACACUCUGUGCGUGUAAGCCGAAGUGUCUAGGGCUGCCAUAGAGCUUUUAAAAAGCAUAUAUAUUAUAAUUAGGAGGGAGGUGAUAGGUGGUAGUUUUCUUCCUACUUGGCUUGUAUCUAGGCUCCGUUCGGUGCAGCUCUACUUGUACUCUUGGGUGGCAAGAGGCCUACGUAUAGGAGUGGUGUGUCUCAAGCAAUUCCAAGCCCUUCAACUCUAACAGCUUGUAAUCCUCUCUCUCAAGUAAUAUAAUACAAGUUCCAAUUUCCUCGAAGAACUACUUUCUCUUUCUUUCUUCCAACUUAGUUCUAGAGCGAGUAGAACCAGGCUAGCAAGUUAGAUGCAGGCUUGCCUAUCUUCACGGAGGAAGGCAGGCACCGCACAGGUUCUUAUGAGCCAAAAACUUAGGCCCAUGACAGCUCGCUCCCUUCCGAGUUUUUUUUUUUUUUUUUUUUUUUUUUUUUUUUUUUUUUUUUUUUUUUUUUUUUGGCCAUUUUAAGAAAUUUAAGUAAAUACAAGAAAAAUGUUAAAAAGUAAAAAAAAAAAAAACCCAACAAGCAUAAAAAUAAAAAAAAAAUUGAAUACUGGAAGAGAGUGCACGCACAAAGGAUCACUUCCGGUAUAUGUUUUAUUUUUAAAGGAUAAAAGUAAAAAAGGGAUUAAAUUUAAAAAAGUUAUACUUGACUGGUUUGCUUUUAAUUGAACAAUAAAAUUUAAAAACGGUCCUGUUAAUAUAGAACUUGAUUACAACCUAAAAGAAAGAAUCAAUUAAUUAUUUUCAGAGAGAGAUGAUACUAUUUUAUCUUCUGAUAAAUUUAAAAAGUAUAGUGGAGUUUUUGCAUUCUUUUAAAAUUGAUUUUUUUAUUUUUAAUUUAUUUUAAUUUUUUUACUUCUGCCCGCCCAGCGCCUACCAGAGCUCCAGGCUCCAACAAUUUUGUUGGAGCCCCGGCUCCACAUNUGACCACCUAAGUUGAUAAAAGUUGCACCUUUGUGUGCCCUCUUACUGACGGUGAAAAUCAUUACCUUUUCCCUGAUUUCUCUCUGUUGUCUGGAUGAUAUUUAUCUUGCUUUGUUGGUUAUUAUAUUUGGCUUGCUUUUGGAAUUCCAAGGAAUCAAAGAUCCAAAAACAAAAUGUCUUUUGUUUGUGGUUCCAUAUGAUAUUAUCAUAAAUUUUGUGCUGAUUAUCUUACAAUUGAACAGUGACGCAAGCUAUAUAUUCUCGCACGGAAAGAUUUGAUGCUAGCAAUUAUGCUAUACUACGUGUCACUGAUGUGGUAUCGCAGAUUAAGCCCCCUGCUAUUUGGCUGAAUGUACAGGUGCAGUUACUAACCAUUGUUUGCACCAUUCUUUUUUGUAGAUGAUUAACUUUGGUGAAAUUGCAACCGAACCUUCAAAAUGUUUGAAUUAUCAUAGAUGCCCCUGCCAUGAUACAUAUUCUUUUACAAGUGUCUUUUUUGGUCGCAUUUAUGAAAACUACAUGUAAUAUUCAGAAGGGCAUUUUAUUUAAGUAUAUAUACAGGCAUUCUUGAUGUUUCCAACAUUUGGAGGGCAUUUAUGAACUUAUAGAUUGCUAGAGGGUAUGUAUUUAGUUUUUCCUUUUUUUUUCCCCUCUUCUAUCCUGACAUCUCUAAAUUUUCUUUCAAUUGCAGCAUGAUAUUUUCUACAAAGAACACAAUCUUAGCAUGAGGAACUUUAUUAUUUCGGUAUCGAAGCAAGUUGUUGUAAACUAUGUCUCCUCACCUGAGGUGGGUUUUCUCAAAAGUAUAGCUCCAAGAGUUAGCAGCAAGACAAAGCUCAUUUUCCGAUUUCUUGAUGAAACCUUACAUGAUCCUUCGACGAACCAAACUUAUAACUCACUGUUGAGAAACCUUACAUUUGUCAAGACCUUUGCUUCCGGAAUUCUUGUUCCUAAAAACUAUAUUUGGCCGGUAUCUCCUGAUAAUUACCUAUUACCACCCAACACGUCGGUCGUGACUGAUGCCCAUAAAGCAGGGCUGGAAAUUUAUGCUGCAGAUUUUGCAAAUGACAACCUUUUUAGCUACAAUUACAGUUUUGAUCCAUUAGCGGAAUACCUUUCUUUCAUCGAUAAUGGUGAAUUCUCUGUUGAUGGUGUGGUGUCGGACUUCCCUAUUACUCCAUCAGAGGCCAUUGGUAAGUUUUUUGUUUCACCAUAAUAUUUUCAUUUUAACCAUAUGAAGUUUUAUUGUCAUUUGUUGGAAUGUAACUAGACAGGUGGUAUAAUCAGAAUAUUAAUGGGGGAUUUGGCAAAUGGUUUAUUUACUAAGUUAUACAUGCUUGUUAGAUUUACCUCUCUAAGUUGUUAGUGCAGAUGCGAAACCUCUUGGCAUUUUAUAUUUUUCAUUUCAUGUGGAAAGAAACGAAAGUAACUUAUUUCAUGCAAAUCUACACAUUACAAGUUACACUAUAUGAUAUGCCGGUUGCUAAUGUUAGUUUUAUCUAUGAAGUUAAUAUCUUCCAGUUGCUGGAGAGUACAUAUAUAUGUACUUUUGUGAUAUUAUCUGGAAUAGGUUUCAUUUGAUAUUCACAUAUAUCUCUAUCCGCGCAGGUUGCUUUUUCCAUUUGAACAAAAGUAGCACAGAUCAUGGUAUGUAUUAAUAUCUGUUUAUCAAAUGCUUCAAGAAUCUGCUAUCUUCAAUAGGAAAGAAAAGAGCAAAAAGUUCAAACUCCGAAACUUUUUGAUGUUAUUGUAUUGCAGGAAAGCCAGUGAUUAUUUCGCAUUAUGGUGCUAGUGGAGACUAUCCCGACUGUACUGAUCUGGCUUAUCAAAAUGCAGUUAGCGAUGGUGCUGAUAUCAUAGAUUGUCCCGUUCAAGUAACUCAGGAUAGUAUCCUGAUAUGCAUGAGUUCCAUUAAUUUAAUGGAUGAUACCAAUGUUGCAAAUACGCAGUUCAGAUCUCGUGUUUCUGUUGUCCCUCAAAUUCAAAGUACUCCUGGAAUUUUUACCUUUAAUCUCACAUGGGAUGAGAUUCAAAAUAACAUACAACGUAAGUUGAUAUAGCCACUUCUUUGCAUAUUAGCUCUUACUUGAAUUAGAAGUAUUUUUAUUACUUAAUUAUGUGAGAUAACAUAGAAGCAAGUGCUAAAAUGGAUUUCUUUUAUCGUUAUUUUAGGCUAGAAAAUUUACAUAUGCUGCUAUAUUGUAUCUCAUGUUUAGAUGAAUACUCAAAAAAAACCUUUUUCAUUCAUGAUCUUCAAGUGCUACCAUUAACCAUUUCCGAAAAAAUAGUGGGAAUUUUGUAUCUUCCCUUUAUCUUUAAGUGACUGUGUUUCUAUUGCAUAUAAUUUUACUUAUCUAGCUGGUGUAAGCAAGAGGACCUUAAUAACAUUGUAUGAGGAAGCCAUAUGACCGCUAAAACUUGUUAAGAUGCAUGCUUUCUGAUAUUGGAUCAUCAUCGUUGUAAUUAUCAUAAGAAUCAUCUGCUGUUGAUUUUGUCUUAGUUGCAUUCAGAGUCAUGGGGCCCCUAUCUUUGAAUGUAGAACUUUUCAUAACUUGUGAUUUAACAUUUCUACAUCUGUAACUAUUUAAAACAACUCAGCUCAGAAAAUAGGAGGGUGCUAUUUUUGCAUUUUAACAUUUUUCAGUGUUCGUUUAGGUCCAAUUUUCUUCUUUUUUCUUUUCCUUCUGCAGCUGUAAUAUCAAGUCCUGAAAGCAACUUCAAACUGACAAGAAACCCAAGAUACAAAACUGCUGGAAAUUUUAUGAAGCUAGCUGAUUUCUUGGCCUUUGCAAAAGACAAGGAUUUAUCUGGAAUUUUGAUUAGCGUACAGGUAAGAAUUUUUAGCAAGAAGCAUUUUUCCUACAGAAUAAACUAUACUUUUGUUUCAGUUUAAAGUUGCUGCAUCCAGAUAAACCAUAUACCACUGCAUUGUGGGCCAUGUGACCAACCUUUAUUAAUAACAUUUACUCUUAGACCUUUGGAAGUAUUGUUGCCAUUUUUUUAUUUUGGUAAAAUGUAUGGAGCUUACCUGAGCGAUAGUUUGUUUUGAUUUUACUACCCAGCCUUUAAAAGAUUUUAUUUUUAUACCUAACCUUUGUUUGAUUGAGCCAUUUGAAAUUUAUCUUAUCACACUUUUGGCCUGUUUGGAUGUUAGAACUAGUAAUUCAAUUAUGUGGUAUGAGGCUUCUUUCUGUGAUUGCAACCUAGGAGCUUGCUUUAAGUCCAUUGCGAGGUGCUGAGAGCUAUGAUUUUAGAAUAAUACAUUUCACCUAAGAGGUGAUUUAUCUUAUUUUGAGAAAAAUGACUUAAAGGCUGUAUAUACUAUGUUGUAGAUAUUUAAUCAUACCCAUUUACCAAUUGCUGCAAAGCCUUUGACUGGAAAGAUACUGAACGAGAUGUUCAGGCUUCCAAACAGGCCCUUAAUUCUAUUUGAAACCAUUUCUAAGGACAUUGUUAUUCAUUAAUAGGCUUUCUAAGGACAUUGUUAUUCACUAAUAGGCUUUCUCUUUGUGCUACAGUAUGCUGCAUUUAUGGCAGAGAACUUAGGGUUCAGUGCAACAGAUGCCAUAAUCACUGCCCUAAGCGAAGCCGGUUACAACAAACAGACUACUGCCUUGGAUGUUAUGAUUCAAUCUAUCGACAGCUCUGUUCUCGUCAACUUCAAGCAAAAAACCAAGUACAAGCUCGUUUACAUGAUAGAUGAAUAUGUCAGUGAUGCUCUCCCUUCCUCACUUGCCGAUAUUAAAACAUUUGCUGAUGCCGUGGCAGUACACAAGGGAUCGAUUUAUGCCGUCGAUGAGUACUUCAUUACCAACCAAACCAAUCUUGUUGAGCACUUGAAGGCUGCUGGCUUGCUGGUUUAUGUUUAUGUGCUAAGAAAUGAGUUUACCUCCCAACCAUGGGACUUUUUUGCAGAUGCCACUGUGGAGAUAAAUUCAUAUGUUGCCGGAGUUGGGGUGGAUGGCCUCAUCACGGAUUUCCCUGCAACAGCUAGAAGAUAUAAAAGUGCAUGCCUCUCUAUUGAUGACUUAUAUUUUCACAUUUUAUUUUCUUUUUUACUUCUAUUAAUCUGUCUCGAAAAGAUCGGAUAAUAGAGAAACUAGUCUUUCUAUACAUAUGGAGAAUCAUAGGGAACAAAUACUUGAUAUCUCUCAGCAGCUAGAGUGAUACAAGAGCAUUUCUCUAUCUAUGUUCACUCAUUCAAAUCCCCAACAGCUUCCCUCCACAGCUGACACCAAAGCUUCUAAUUUGCUCUUCUGCUGUUAACGCUCGGAUUAAGCUUUUGGCAGCUUCUUGACUUAAAUGAGUUUUGUUUGUCAACAACCGGGUCGUUGCUUUUGAGAGUAGCGAACCCGUGCUCCAAAAGCCAAGCCAAACGAACUAAGUUUGUAGUUCCUACUAUUAUUGGUUUUCAUGCCGCCUCAUGGCGCCUUUUUGAGUUAGGGACUGGUUGAUUAACAAAUAUUGCACUAAUCAACGCCAUAUAUUCUGAAAUUCAUGCAGGAAAUUCUUGUUUUAAUUUGGGGAACAACACACCAGUCUAUAUGGAAACUAUUCAAGCCGGUGGGCUUUUACAGCUCAUCAUUCCACCAGCACGGCCUCCAAUGCCGGCGUUGAACGUCUCUGAUGUGGUGGAGCCGCCUCUGCCUCCCGUUGCAUUGAAGCCGCCACCAGCUUCCCCGGCCAACAGUCCACAUUCAGCUGCUGCACGAAGAACCACUGCCUCGGUUUUUGCAUUGCUUCUUGUUAUGCUCUCUACAUUUCUCCUCGUCUGAGCACCGUCUUGCAUUUGUGGUUGAUAAAUUAGUCAGGCUGCAAGUAUUGUUUGGGAGCUUGUAAUCCUGUUAUUGUAAGGCUUCUAUUUUGUAGUAAUAUGAUUGUUAUUAUUAUUGUAGCUCUCUUGGAGUUGUUCGAUUUGUUUUGUUUUGCUGCGGGCACCAGCUAUCUGUAAAUAACAUUCUUAUCAUCGGAAUUCAUCAGUUAGAAACGAGUUGUAAUAUGAUGAGUACAAGGGUGGUGUAGCAGGAUGACACCUAGUUUGAUGAUUUUUCUGAUGCCCAAGUACAGGUCUAACAAGUACCUAAUUACUCUUACGCAUGGCGUCUCCUGAUUGAGGAUGUAAUGUUUUUUUUUUUUUUUUUUUUUUUUUUUGGGGUCAGUUUUUCAGUAUUUUCGAUUUGAGAAAACAUGUACAUCCGUUUGGUGAACGAGAAGGGCUUUAUAGCCAAAGUACCCAUGCAAAUAUGUCAAAUUGUGAAAGUAUUCUUUGAAAGGCUAUGUUUGCCUAAGUCGACAUUUGCUUGCAUCUUCUUAAAAACCUUAUUUAAGCAUGUAUCUUUGUGAGAUUACUGGUGAAUUGAAUAUUUUUGUGUAGUUUUGUUGUCAGUGACGUACAUGAAAAUAAGGUUUUCAACCGCAUGUAUGUGAUCGUCAACUUUACAGGGCUGUGCACGUAAUUAUCCAUUUUUAGGCAGGUAUGUUUGCAAAAUCACCCAACAAAAUAGAUCCAAUUUGAGCCGAACAGACCCUUAGCAGUAUCUAUCUGUAAAUAUCGACAGGAACAUAGCAUGUAAAAUUCGACUGAUCAGAAGAACUCCUGAUGAAAAAUAUCUACAAUUUGCACAUCCCAUGCACUCUUCCCUAAUUAUUAUCAACUUCUUUAUGCAAGCACUAGUAUCUACACUACCAAUCCAAGGAGCAAAGAGGAUAAAGUUCUGCAAAUUUUUAGAAACCAAUGUGAGCAUCGUCGCCACUCAACCGCAUAUAUAGUCAGACUGACGAAGUUCAUGGUGAGUAUUGUUGUUUUUCACCUUUUCCUAAGCAUCAUUAUUCCUUAAAAAUUUUACAAAAUAUACACACACGAAUUGUAACUUCACACAAAUAAGAACCAAAAUGAUAAAGGAAAAGAUGCAUCAUGCUAAAACAGGAAGCAAAGAUCCCUUUCCUUUGGCAAUUGAAGCCUGUUAGAUGAUUAUUAACAAAGAUCAUUUACCAUUUACCCGAAAAAAAAAAAAAACAGAAAAGGAAAAAGGGGAGCCUUGCCUAAACAUCCUGAAUAGGACCAGACAUCUACCUUUUUAAAUACAACACAGGGUAGGCAAAACACCCCUGUAUUUAACAGUCAUAUGUACAAAUAUACCCACUUCCCAUCUCUUCUGAAUUUUGUACUACCAUAUACCAAAAGUAGAGCUCACAUGUUCUUGAAUGAUCAUCUGAAGCCGCGCGCGCAUCACGGUGAGGGAAGGAUAAGGUGGGAGGAGGAGGCGGUAGAAGCAUGUGUGAGAUGUCGGGAGGCGGUCCUGCGGCACCGGACUUCUUUGUAUGUACAGUUUCGAAGGCAAACCGCCAAAGCCGUCAAUAGGCAAGUACUUUACAGAGGUCCAAAAGUAAAGCAGCAUCCUCUGCUGUUCAAUAGACAUGCUCUCCACCACCUGUUUCAGAUGUUUCUCUCAUAUGUCAGUACAUUUUGGUAUAUAUUCUCUGCUGAAAAUUUUUUGGGAGAACUUCGACAAAUAUUGCUCCUCCAACUGUUUUCACCUGUUUCUUGAGAAUAGAUUUAAUACUGAUUGAAUUAUAAUAGCCUUUUAGAGUUUGCUUCAAAUGGUAGCUAUUUGUUAAUUCAACCGGCAUUCGAGAGAAGUUCAUAUAUUUUAGUUUUCUAUAUAUUUUUUUAUUACCAGCCAUCCUUCAAUUCUUCCCAAAGUUUCACGCUAGUCCUUAACCUUGAAAUUUAAGCAUUCGAGUCCCAGCAAUCAUAUAUGUGUUGCUCUGUACUCUAGUCAAAACCACCACGAAUGACUAAAAAAAACAUAAACAGGGUGGCCACAAAUGAUACAUUUGUUAGUCAUACGCAUAUCCAUCCUCUCACGAAACUAGAAGCACUUACCAACCUAAGAGAGUAAAAAUUGAAACAACAUUUUUUUUGCGUCUAUCAUCAUAUUUCAAGAAAGAAUGCAGAUGGACUUGGCAGUCACCUUUGCGGUUUUGUUAGUCCCAUUAAUGGAUAUGACAGGACUAUAUAGAACAAUUACAUCAGGAAGGUUUAAAUUCAAUGUGUGGGGAUUAAAUCAUUUAAGUGAAAUUUAAAUAGUUAAGGAACCAAAGUUAAAUUGGAUAGUAUAGCAACUAGUUGAAACUCCAUAUAUGACAAAUGAUAGCCUUGAUUGGAGUCUUCUUGAUGCACCAUGUAUGCAUGUAAUUGGAAAUACAUGUAUGGGCCUAGAUCCUUGAGAAGAAGUUUCACAUGAUUUACAUGGAGAAUCUUCACUUAUAGCUUCAAAGACAAAGCAGCAAGUAGAGAGGGGCGGGAAAUAAAAGACUUUGGAAGAUCACAACUUAAUUUAAAUUGCAAGUGCAAAUACCUUCCAAAACCAGCCGAUUAGACGAUCUUUUGCCUUGUAGCCAUUGUAUUCAGUAUGUGCUUUCCAAUCCUUGAUGUCAAUUACGCAAUCACUACCACCUAACAUUCUAUCAAAAUCUUCAAUAUCUAAACUCUGAAAGAAAAACUUCUGAAGCUUUGAGUCAGCAAGGACGUCGCCAAAUCCUUGAGCAAAACGAGAAACCUGUUUGGAAAUAGAUGUUACGAAGCAAUCCUGAAUGAGAAGGUCUAUAUAUUCCUCUCUAUUCUUGCUAUUUACAACUUUAUCCUUCCCACCAGGGCAGAGUUCGAUGACCUUUCUAGUUCCUAAUCCUUCAAUUUCUCUUGUAAACGUCAGUCCUAAUGCAUCUGAAUCAAGAAGAUCAGCGUCCAUCUCUAAAAUUUUUUUGCUGCUACUGUAUAAGAAUGGAUCUGCAUCCUUAAUAUCUUCCAAAGUAAUAGCUUUACCAGCUAGCUGCAAGAAAAAUAGGCGAUCAAACGCAAUGCCUACUUGCACUUUGUGCAUCAAGGCUAGUGCAAUUACUCGACCGGAAAAGACAAAGUAGUUCAGGUGCAAGGGAUCCACGGCAGACGCUGCAAUUUAUACACAAAAAAAGGCGAAAGAUAAGCAUUUAUUACGUAAAGACUGAUAAGAGCAAUAAUUAUUAAAGACCCAAAAAAGAUAGCAAGCAAUGAUAGUGGAACUAGCAUCACAUAUCUCCUAGAUACUAGUAGAUGAUCUCAAAAAAAAUAGCCAGUUCUGUAUGCAAUGUAGUGGAAUACUAUCAACAAUUUUUGAUUUAAUAUGAAAAGGAAAAGGUCAAAGAGAAUAAGAAAAGAAUGACCAACCCACUCAAAAUCAAGAUAAGUGGCCAAUACCAGUUCAGGUUUGGUUAGUGCUGAAAAAACUGUCUGUGCAUCCCAUGGGAUUUGGCCAUAUCAAACUUCAGUAUACAAAUAUUAAUAUAUUAUAAUCUAGCCUCAUGAUCUCAUAAAAUCAAUAGUGUAAACAGCAGAUCCAGUGAUCCUUAAUUCUUUUCUGGUCUCAAAUGGUAUAAGAUUUGAUCAACUUAGUUUGACCCAUUUCACUAUACAAAUUAAUAUAUUAUAAUCUAACCUCAUGAUCUCAUAAAACCAAUAGUGUUAACAGCAGAUCCAGUCAUCCUUCAUCCUUUCCUGGUCUCAAAUGGUAUAAGAUUUGAUCAACUUGGCUUGAUCCGACUAGCCUUCAACCCAACCCAACUUUAGCUUUAGUCCCAGCCAGAGGAAGGUUAGGCUAGGGCUGAACAUAACAUUGUUUUUUGUUUUUUUAAAGAAAAGAGAGAAAAUUUUAACACCAUCAAGUGGUAAUGGAAAAAUGAAGUUACUCCUCACAAUCACACCAAAUAAAAGGGUAUACAAGUCGAAAUCCCAAAGAAGAUCUUCCAAUGAGAUAAUGUACUAGUGGCAUUAAUGUGAAGCUUCUACUGUAUUUCUAAUGUUCUUUUCAGGUCAAUAUGGAGAGACCAGAAGCUCUCAAGGUGACCAGUUUGGUAAUUGUUGGAGGUCUAAUACAUUAUUCAAGAAAUUGUGACUUGAAUUGCAUUAGAAGAAUAUAUAAGCUCUGUUUGAUCUAUGGGUUUCUUGCAGACUCCACGUGUUUCAUUGUCUUUCUCCCUGCUCCCAUACUCCAUAAUUUCAACCGUACAAUGAUUGGACGGGAGCUCUUUUGGAUGAUAAUGCCUUUAAAGAGGAGGUACAGACGCUUCUACCUUGUUUCGUCUUUUCCUUCCAUUACUAUGCGUUAGAUGCACUAUGAUGCAGCACCAAAGAAUCACAAACAUUAUAAGCCCCGCCUCCAUAACAAUUUAUAAUUUUAAAGCAUUCUUGAGUCCACAGGACGCAGCACACCACAAAGAGCAACAUUAGCUUUGGGCAACUGACACCAAAAAGAAUUAUUUGCUGAUUCUCCCUCAAUUCCCCCUUGAAAUAACUCAAUGAUGAAGGAAAGGAUCCAACUUCCAACUGUAAAGGAGAUGGUGAAAUUUUUGCAAUCAGACGGUGUUAGAAGAAUACAAGAGCAACCAUAUGGGAAAUAGGCUCAUGGACUUCAGAAAGAAAAGGUACCAUCUUCAUGCGGAGUACUCUCAUAUUGUUGCAACUUAAGGGGACCAUAGAACUAAGAUAAGUAAUCAAUCGACUGUCAUUUGUUACAAGAGAAACUGACAGUCGUCCAAAGGAUUAGCCAAAGAGGCAAAAAGUAGUAGCGGUUACUAGGUUUGUGAACUACUAUAAAGGUGAAAAAGGAAAUUGAGGAAACUGAAAAUGAAGAGAAGAGGCAAAGUAACUAGGAUAAGAGGGAAAGCUGACAAAGAAAAUUUAGAACAUUCCUCCAACCCAACCAGUGAUCUGUGAAGCAGAAAUGGUGACUGCCGUGAUGAGAACUCGGACACUAUCGGAGGCCUACAAUGACUUCUCCAUUCAUAGGAGCUGAGAUAGCAGCUGAUAUGAAGAGUAAUAAGAAAGUUGCUUAGUACCAAAUUUUAAUAGUCACGUAAAUAACAUAAAAAGUACAAAAGGUUCCACCUAAUCUCUUUUAAUGAUUCACGUAACCAACAGGCUUUUCUAUGAGAAUUGUAAGUUGGUUUCAGUGUUGUCUCAUAAGGACCCACCUAAUCUCUUUUGAUGAUUCACAUAUCCAACUGACUUUUCUAUGAGAAUUGUAAGUAGGUUUCAGUGGCCUCAUAAGCACCCUCUGCCCCUUCAUUUGAUGAUUCAACUCGAGUAAAAUGAGAAAUUAAAAAUAUACAACUAUGGAAGUAUAUCUGUACAUCACCAUUUAUAUCCAGAAGAGUUGGAACUCGGAUGUCCUCAUGAACUAUAAGCUGUGGAUUAUCAAUGUAGAUUCUGUUAUACGUCUUAUUAUGAAAUCCAUUUUCGGUCAUCCCAGUACAACAAUUAUCUAAUGUGAAUUUCAGUAGUAUCUAUCCAAAUGAAUAUAAUUUGAACAACAUGCAAUGAAAUUAAAAAAAAAAAAAACAUACAAAAUUUAAGGAAUGUAAAACUUACCAGGAUUUGGGAAGAACCUUCUUUGGUCAUUUGCACAUGGCAGGAAUAGCACAUUUUGUGGGCUAAAGAUUGCAUGACAAACCAACGAGAACCACUCCCUUAAAACACCAGGACCUGUAGCUUCUUCAUUUUUGAACUCCAUGAAGAGGCCACCACGCAAUGCACUAGCAUCAGCCUGGAUAAUAUACUCAAAAGACUCCUCUAACAAUCUUGACCGGUCAAUUAGCAUUUCAUGAAGCUCAUAAAAAUCAUCCUUUCCAUCAGGGAACAACAUCAAAACCAAAUUUCGCCUUGCCUCAAAUUCCAAAAGAUCCUUAUGCUUUAGAAGCCAGUACAGAUUACUGUUCCUCUUUGCACAUUUGACAAGAGCAUUGAUAGGCAACCGCCAAGCGAGCAGAACAGAAUGAAGCGAGUCCUUUGCAUCCUCGUAAAUUUCCAAAAACGAAUUAAGCUCCGUCAAGACGACAAGGAUAUGUGAGCACUCGGACGAAAGAGAUUUGCUCUGCCCCAUCCCUUUCUCCAGAAAAUCCCUGUUUAACUUCUUGAGACACUCAUCUACCUUCUUCAAAAGCUCUCUAUAUAUAGCAUAGAGUGUGGAAAUCCAAUGAUCGCAGCUAUUAUACACCAUUUUCGGGAUUGGACCAGUCUUCCCACCCAUCCAUUCCUGAACAGCUCGGCGCAACGCAUGCAAAAAGCUUGAUAACUCGCAAAGAUCCUUGGCAGAAACCAACAUGGAGUCCGAGGACAAUCCUGCGAUCACAAUAUCAGCCAUUUCUCUAGCAAAAGGUAACAACUGCGGUAUCACAUUCACCGGCCACUCUAAAUGGCCAGCCCACCAACAAUCCGGCACAUCCAGCAACGAAGCAAAAGCAUUUCGACACGACAGGUAUAGCGAGUCCUUCUUACCGACCGUCCAAGCGAGCAACUUACAGAAAUCGAGAAGUAUAGGAAUACACUUCACCUGAAAAUCCUUGGGCAGAUACUCCGAAUUCGAAUUCACGAAAUACCGAAUGGCCUUCUCUGCAGCGCUGUGGUACUUAGUGAGGUACAAUUUGACGAGCGCCACGGUGGCGCCACUCAAGAGGAAUACCUCUACAUAAUCUAAGAAGGGGUCGGUCCCCUGAUCAACGGAGGCAGCAGUGGACAAGAUGAGGAACUCCUUCACGAGGGUGUUCACAUAGGAGGCGUCCCUGUUGGCGUACAAGCGCCCGUCGAUCAUGCUCGAGAUCGCGAAGACCAUGUCGUUCGCGAGCUGCCACGCGCGCGGUUGCUUCGUGCUGCGGAGGCGGCCGGUGAGGUGGAGGCUCGAGUCGUUCCCCACGAAGCACUCGGCGAGAGUGGAGUCUCCCUGGAGCUGGCGCCCGCCGUACACGAGGCACUGCUCGCGCGAGGCGACGCCGGCGGUGCCGCAGAUGAGAUCGACGACGGAUUGGACGGUGUCGUCGGGAUUGGCGUGGAUUACUAGGGUUUUAGUCUCUGCGCGAACGAAGAAAUGGAUGGUGGAGGGGGUUCGGGGGGGUAGAACCGCGGCGGGGUCGGAGGGCCGNGCCGCAGAUGAGAUCGACGACGGAUUGGACGGUGUCGUCGGGAUUGGCGUGGAUUACUAGGGUUUUAGUCUCUGCGCGAACGAAGAAAUGGAUGGUGUGGGCGGCCAUGGGCGGAGCAGCGGCGGAGGCGGGGGAGGAGGAGAGGAAACCCUACAGCACCAUGAAGGGGGGAGGAGGAGGAGGAAGAAGAGCUAGGGUUUGAGAGGGUUUUGGUCGGAAUUAAGGCUGAAAGAGAUGGAAGAGGCAGGUGCGGAAGCAAAAGGGGAAAGGGUAAGUGGUCGAAUGUCGACAGCAUAGCGCAGGGAGUGAGAGGUCGCAUGCGACUGCUUCAAAUACUCGCAUCGCUCGAGACUCGACAGUGGGGGCUGAUGAUGUAAGCGUCCGAUUGCGCUGGUCGCGUGCCACGUGCGAUGGAGAUUACUAAAAAGAAGCAGCUUUCGUACACCCACGUUCACCACAUCAUCCGUGAGUCACCCUAGUUAUUCUCGCGUGCGAGAUGUCACGUGCAGAGAUAUUAGUAGCAUUCGAAAUGCUUAGAUAUUUAUCCCAACUUAAAUCUAGAUUUUUCUGUUAAAAAUAAAAAACAUUCAUCUACGUUCUCAUAUAUAAAUUCUCGCAUGCGAGAUGACACGUGUAGAGAUAUUCGUAGUAUUUAAAAUGCUUAGACAUUUAUCCCAACUGUAAUAUAGAUUUUUCUUUUAAAAAAUAAAAAACAUUCAUCUAUAUUUUUUUAUUAUAAAUUUUAAUAUAGAGAUUACUAAAAAGAAGCAACCUUCGGACAACUUCGUCCACCACGUCAUUCGUGAAUCACCCUAGUUAUUCUUGCGUGCGAGAUGACACGUAUAGAGAUGUUCGUAGCAUUUGAAAUGCUUAAUUAAACAUUUAUCCCGACUGUAAUCUAGAUUUUUCUCUUAAAAAGUAAAAAACAUUCAUCUACAUUCUCAUAUUAUAAAUUUUAAUAUGGAGAUUACUAAAAAAAAGCAACCUUCGGAUAACCACGUCCAUCACAUCAUUCGUAAAUCACCCUAGUUAUUCUCGCAUGCAAGAUGAUAUGUGUAGAGAUGCCUGUAGCAUUUGAAAUACUUAGACAUUUAUCCCAACUGUAAUCUAAACUUUUCUCUUAAAAAGUGAAAAACAUUCACUAACAAGAAAAAUUUGAGUAUAUAUAUNAUUUAUUUAUUUUUGGUCCUUUAAUUUUAAUUUAUUAUAAUUUUUAGCUUGAAUUAUUAUGAUACGCUUAAUAUUUUAAUUUUCAAACUUUAAUUAAUUAUAAUAUUUGGCUCAAAAUGUAAGAUAUAUAAUAUUUUUGUUCUUGAACUUUUUGAAUUAAGUUUUCAAACACCACUUCUAGCGUCAAAUUAUUUGCUAGAUCUGGUUCAUAACGUUAUUCGAAUCGCAUGACAGUUAAUAAAAUUUUUAUUAUUUUACUCUUUUUACACCCUAUAUUAAGAAAUAGAUGGAAUAAAGUAGGUAUAUAAUUGUGCCCUCACUGAAAAAAAAAAAAAAAAAAAAUUGUGAGCACUACGUGAUUAAUCCAUCAAUCAAAAUAUGGGAUUCAUAUAUAUCCAACUUUUUGCAUCAAACAUGACAUCUUGAUAUUAUUGCACGAAUUUGAUUUUUUUGAAAAACCAGCUUGGCUCACAAAUAAAUAAAAUAUAUUUAUAUGCUGAACUAUAAAAACAUUUUAUAUGCUAAAGCAAAAUUUUUAUUUGUAGGAGAUAUUAUUUACACCUUCUCAACAUCUAUUCUGUACCUAUUUCAAUUUCAAGCACUCUAUGACUGGUUUUCAUUAAUUUUUUUUUUUAAAAAGAAUGAGUACAUGGUAAUUGGACGAAGAUUGACGUGGCAUGGUUAAUAGGGUGGUGCAUGGGGUGCACCCUGCACCAGGUGCACAGAAUUCUUUGUCUGUUUGGGCCAGAAUUGCCCAUGGCCCAAGAUGUUGUUCAAUAGGCCUCUAAGGUCCAUCAAUUGCAACAUCCUUUGGGCCUUGUGAAAAGCCCAUAUAUAAUACAUAACUGGAUCCAUAUUACUUCUUAGACCCAUUCUUAACUUGAUUAUCCGGCCCGUUAAGGUACACUGGCAUAUAGGGCGGGUCCAAUGUCUUAGUUUUGGGAGCAUAGCUUACAAAGCUCUGCAUUCUUCUUUUGGAAAUAAUAUACUGCAUGUGAUGAGAAAGUAAAAUAAAAGAAUUAAGCUUCUAUACUUUUAAAAACAAUAAGUUAAAACAAUCCAAAAUACCUUGUAUCUCAUAUCUGACCCAAACACUACCAGGACCUUAUUCAGAUCCGAACCAAACCCGAUAAAAAUGAAUAGGAUACAGGUACAUAAAAAAAUUCAUUAAAAUUUUGGGUAUGGGUCCGAAUACUUUAUACCCAUAACCUACUUUUAUCCUACCAAAAUCUGAUCUUUUAAUAGGUAGGGUCCGGAAGAGUUUUCAAAUCUGAACCCCUAUUUGGCCCGGUCUCCGACCUGGUGAAAUAUCUGAUAGUAAACAAAAAAAAAAUGGAAGUUCAGGAUGAAGGAUUUUUGUAUUUUUUUCAUUCUAGUAAAAAUUUUAGUUGCUCUAUUUAUUCCUUUUUUAUUUUUUUAAAUUUUACUCUUUUACUGAAGCAGGUAGUAUACAAGUAGCUACUAUCCAGACCGGUUCAAAUAAACUCAAUGAGUAUAUUAUUAACUUAAGUAUCCAAAUCCCCGAUCCGAAGUUACACGGAUAGGGUAUAGUUUUUUUUUCCUACCCAUUUUCUUUUGGAAUAUGGAUACAGCAUAUCAACUAUCAAAAUCGAUCCAGUCUAUGUACAUCUUUACAUCAACUCAUUAAUACUUUUAGAUUUUUCAUUCUUGAAUUAAAAGAUAUGCAGUUAAAAUGAUAAUGGUCCACCAAGAUUGAGCAAGUGGUUGGUUGAGUAGUAUGAUCUAACGGAUGAAAAUGACUAAAAAAAAUAAAUCUAACGGCGGAAAACUUAUAAGCAUCAAAUGUUUGUGCUUUUAUGGGCAAUCUAGCCGAACUCUAAUAAAAAAAUAUAUUGUAUUACUACAGUAGAUGAUAACAUGUUGCAUGUGCAGUGCUGAUUCAGUUUAAAUAUUUUCUACCAUCUAAGAAGGGGUGGAGCACUGUCGCUAAAGCUGGUCCGAGAACAUGGUGUUGUUUUUGUAUUUUUUGUUUUGUUUUGUUUUGUUUUCCUUUUGAAAGGUUCAGAAAGACUAAUAACCACUCAUUCGUACUAUUACACGUGUGCCACGUUGUUGUUAUUAUUAUUAUUAUUAUUAUUAUUAUUAUUAUUCUAAUCGAAUCGUGUGAAGAAAACAAAAUUGUGAAAAUGUUUUCUUAGAUCUAUGAUGAACACUAGGGCGCUCGGGUUGGUUGGGUUUUGGCCACAAAUUAACCAAAUCACUAUGUUCGUUCAAUGUAUAGUAGUUAUAUACGUUGCAGGAUCUAAUUUACCUAGAUAUAAAAGCUCAAAAUAGAUCAGUAGCUUAUUAAUUAGUUGAUGACAAAAUGUUUAACAAGAACGCCAUUCUCAAGACAUAAUAAAGGAAGCAUCGAAUGGACCAGGUCGCUGUAUAGAAAAGCUUGAAAAGAUUUUCUUUUGUUUUUUCCCCCACCUAAAAACUUCUAUUACUCCGUCAAUUCUCCUUAAAUUGAUAGAUGAAUUGAACAUGCAUCUAUCAAUUUUGCUUGCACGGCAAGAAGAAGUACAUAAAUUAUUAGACCGUAAAAAUGAACAUAAUUAACCGACGUAAGUUAUAGAUUAUUUUGAUUCGACUAUUCAUUCUUUUAAAAUUUUGAUUUUAAUACUCAAUCAUUUUAAUUUAAUUUGUUUGACUUAAGUUGUUUGACAACUCUUCCGGCAAAAAAAUAAAAUAUUAGAUAGCAAAAGAAUAUUUAAAAGUUAAACAGCCAGUUGAAAAUUACAUGCAUUGGAAAGAUCAAAGUAAACUUUUGCAUCUAAUCUCCAACACGUUAAUCACACGCGGAGAUAAGAAGAUUAAUUUUGUUGACAGAGACUCGAUUCAAAUCCAAGAAAAUUAUAGACCUCUCUCCUGGAGUCCUUUGCUUUAAAAUAAAAAAUUAGAAAAAAGGUGUGGCUAAGGAUAAUGACCGACAACUUGUCUUUUGAUCAUAGGACGAUUCCAAAAUAACAACUAUAUGUAUGCAUAUAUGUGUACAAAAUUUCGUAGUACCUGUGGUGACUUAAUAGAAAUUUUAGAAGAUUCAUGGACGUGAAUGAGAUAAGCUCCUAUAAUUCAUAAGGGAAUGGCCCCAUGAACAUCCUAUAAUUCAUAAGGGUGUGGCCCCAUGAACAUCCAAUAAUUCAUAAGGGUGUGGCCCCAUGAACAUCCAAUGCCAUUAUAGAGAUCUCUUUAUGGAUCCCUCCUCACCACUGUGUGCACAAGUUGAUCAGGUCAAGUCAUUCUACAGUUAGAAUUGAGCAAGAAGCAAAUUGUAGAAUUAAAAAAUUGUAUUAAACCCAAAUCAAUAAUUCGGUUCGGUUUAUGUUCUUUCGAAUGUCGUUUCAUUACGUUUCGUAACAAAUUCUUCAUGUACUGUGCACUGGACAGAAAUUUCUGGGAACAUUUUGCUGUAACAAUGUGAAAGUCACCUUGUAACUAUGCUACAAGGCUCUCUCCCUCUAUCCAAAUUAGUACUUGAUGUGUAUCUAAAUGGGCUCAGUUGGUAUAGGCAUUUACAUGAAGGUUUUUGAGGCGCGGAAUAUUCUAAUUUAACAAACUAAUUAAUCUUUGUAGAAUAAUGCAAGCAAAUCCCUUUCACUGCCACAUGUUGGCAAAGAAUCAUAUUAAAUAUAUUAGUCCAAGGGUGUUACGAGACUUAAUUACAUGUUAGGUGGCAUAAAAAAGACUUUGUUGAUAGAAGGAUGCGCCACAAGCUUUGGUGACCCACCAACUCUAUCUUCUUCCUACUGGAGAAGCGCACCUGCAUGGCACUAGAAUUAAUAGCCUCAAAUGUAAUGUAUUUUUUUAAUAUUAAAUGUAAAAGAAGAAAUGUAAGUUGUGGACAUCAAUGCAACUUCUCCACCAUUCGUUGAGUUUCAUUCAAAAAUAGUUAAAUGAUUCCAUCAAAAUCAACCUCAAAAUUGUCACACUUAACUCUCUUCAUUUGAGCAAUCAGGUUAUAAAAGAACAACAACUGAAAAACCAAAAGAGAAAAGGCAAAAGCUAAAACUCCCCCAUCCCCUGCAAUGGCUACCAAAGCAUUGCCUUCACCAAGCACAGAUGACCCAAGAACUCCUCUCCUUCCACUAUCUGAGCCUACAAUACAUAGCCCCCGUUUUCCUAUAAAAUCACUUCUCACCAAUAAAUACCUACACAUAAUCUCAGGGCCAUUAGCAUGCAUGCUCAUCUUCUUCUUUGUCGAGCUCGACGGCCCGCGCUCGAGCCGGAACAUGCUCGCAGCUCUCUCGUGGGUGUUUCUUUGGUGGCUCACCGAAGCCGUGCCGAUGCCGAUCACCUCUAUGUCCCCUCUUUUUCUGUUUCCUAUAUUCGGAAUAUCUUCGGCGGAUUCCGUUGCAAAGGCCUACAUGGAUGAUGUUAUUGCUCUUGUGCUUGGUAGCUUCAUUCUAGCAUUAGCCAUUGAGCACUACAAUAUCCAUAGAAGGCUAGCAUUAAAUGUGAGCUCACUUGAUUCUACCUUUAAGCAUCACUUCUUUUUUUUUUUUCCAUGUUUAGGUUAUUCCCUAACUUAUAAAUGCGAAUAACUUUUUCAAUCAUAAGAAUGAAAAGAAAUGCCUAGAAAAAGCCACUCAGUUUUUUCAUUUCAUGCUUCCAACAGUUACUAAAAUUCUGCUUUCAAGCUUCCAUACCUUUUAUUCGCCAAAACUUUUGAUUCUCGAGUAGAGAAGCAGUGUCGAGAAGCUGCAUGCUAAGAUAAGCAUAUCUGUUCAUAGCAACAACUACCAACAUGAGCAAGGCCAUGUCAUAUAUGAUCACCACUGAAUUCAGUUACGAAUUUGAAUCUUUAGAUAACCUACCUUUUCUGCGGCGACCCGCUGAACCCGCCGCUGCUGCUCCUGGGCAUCUGCGGCACAACGGCGUUCGUGAGCAUGUGGAUGCACAACACUCCAACCGCCAUGAUGAUGAUCCCCGUCGCCACUGGGAUACUCCAACGCCUCCCGGCUGAAGACUCUGCAGACGCUGACGUCACGCGCUUCGCGAAGGCGGUCAUCCUCGGCGUGACCUAUGCAACCGCGAUCGGCGGCAUAACCACCCUUACCGGGACCGGUGUGAACCUGAUCUUGGUGGGCAUGUGGGCGAGUUACUUCCCUCAAGAGGAACCCAUUAGUUUCAGUUCCUGGUUCUUUUUCGGGUUCCCCUUGGCUCUUGUUAUAUUCUUUGCAUUGUGGGGGAUACUUUGUGUGCUCUAUUGCUCCAAGAAUACGGGGAAGGUGCUCUCUGCGUACUUGGAUAGGAAUCAUCUCAAGAGGGAGCUUGAACUACUCGGUAACUAAAUCUCUGAACUUACCAAAUUAUCAUAACUGCUUUGUAUAGAGGAAAAUGCGUUGUAAGAUGAUAUUACGAGAUAUUAGGUAGAUUUAUGGAAUGAUUUUUACAGUGAAAGAUUAGAACCAAAGUGAAAUUUUGGCCUGACACAGUUCCUUGUAAAAACUGUGAUCUACUCCUUUUCUACUCUGUUUUGCUAUUUCUGUUGUGAUUUAUUAUAGAAGUGCAAAAUUUACAUUUAUUUUGUGGCAGGUCCAAUGGCUUUUGCCGAGAAGAUGGUUUUAGCAGUGUUUGGAGUUAAGUCUAAUCCUAUUCUUCAAACUCUCAAUUAGAGAUAUGGAUUAGUCAAUCCUUUUUUUUGUUGGAGUCACUAAUACUCUGUUAACUUUUAUCUAGGCUCUGAUAGUUCUGUGGAUGACUAGAAGCCUCACAAAUGAUGUCCCUGGUUGGGGAGCCCUCUUUCAUAACAACGUGGGUGAUGGAACUGUUAGUGUAAGUAAACAACAGCAUACCCUCAUAAUAUCAUGAAUCUCUCUGUAUCUGUUUAUUUUUAAGUAACAAGUUCUGCAGGAAUAGCUCCUUAUCUUCAUAUUAUCAUGCUAUCUUAGGAUAAGCAAUAUAAAGAAAGCUACAAUGAUCGAUGAUAAUCAUAAGGAUCGUAGCAUAGUAAUUCUAAGGCUACCAUAGAAUGAAUUAGUAAUUUGACAUAAAUUGAACCAGAGAAUUAACUUCAGCAUCCCCUGCUUUUUCCUGAGCAAAAGAUACUAUUGCAUAAGAUUAAUCAAAAGAGGUACAUACCUUUUUUUUCCCAUUCAGGUGAUGAUGGCCACCUUGCUGUUCAUAAUCCCAAACAAGAAGAAUGAGGGGGAGAAGCUAAUGGACUGGAACAAAUGCAAGAAGCUGCCAUGGGGCAUCAUCCUCCUCCUCGGGGCAGGUUUUGCGAUCGCUGAUGGGGUCCGAACUAGCGGCUUAACCGAUGUUCUCUCUGCGAAUCUCGACUUCCUCAAGUCGGCCCCCUACUUAGCAAUUGCACCAUUAGUGUGCCUUAUAAGUAGCACCAUAACAGAGUUCACAUCAAACAACUCUACUACCACUCUUGUGGUUCCUCUUCUUAUUGAGUUGGCUCAAUCUAUGGGUGUGCACCCCCUUCUAUUAAUGGUUCCUGGAGCCAUCGGGGCGCAGUUCUCAUACCUCCUGCCGACCGGCACGCCUUCGAAUGUUGUAGGGUUCACGACAGGCCGCAUCGAGAGUAAGGAUAUGAUCAAGACCGGAUUGCCAUUAAAGAUCGCAGGCAUUGCAGCUCUAACACUACUAAUGCCUACAUUAGGUAAAUAAAAUCUUCCAUGAUAAGUUAUUUUGCAGUUUCUUUGGUAAGUGUUAAUUCAACUCUUUGAUUCGAUCUUAUAACAAAAGUUGAUGAAAGAGCUAUAACAAAUAUACUUAAAUGAAUUCAAACUGAUAAAUGCUUCAAAAGAUCGGAACAAAAAUAAAACUUAGCAAUGAAUUCAAGGACUAGAUUGCUUUCGUCAUUCGAUUGCAUUAGCUGAUUCUUUUCCAAUUGCCUAACCAAUGCAGGAGCAUUUGUUUUCAAGACAAGCAGGAAAUUGUAGAACAACGAUGAUCACCGCAGCAAUGGUGUAAAGUUUCUUUUAUAAAUUAGGGGGUUGAUUUAUGAUGGAAUAGUCCAUUGUAGCACAUAAAAGUAUGUAUCAUAUAUCUUGUCUCCGUUGAAGGAAAUGAAGCCAUGUUCUUUAUUCUGGUACAAAAUUUGCAUUGUUCUUUUGCACUCACGAAGAUUACAUAGAGAAGCUGGAACAAGGAAUAUAACUUCGUACAGUGCCUGAAAGAGGUAGAAGUCUGCUGUUUGUUACUUUUCUGAUUUAGUGUAGAACUAUUAAAGCUGUUGUUUAAGAGGAAGAAAAGAAAUAUUGCUUAUCGUAUUAGUCGACCAACUUAGCUGUAGAGGUAGUUUCAACAGCUAUAUUCACUGCUGAAGCACAUUCUGCAGGUGGUAAAAAUGGAGUUUAUACAGAAGUGUUGUUUGAGUAGAACAGAGUAAAGAAACCUCAAUGAUUCUUUAUCGUAAUCCUCAAAAUAACUUUACUGCUAGAAACAAAAAGUUGUUUAUGCUUUUAGAAUCUGGAAAAGCAUUUCUGUUCUGACUAGCAGCUACAGACAGAAGGUCUAGAGUUGGCGUUUGCCGAAACUCCUAUUUGCUAGUCUACUAGAUAACAAUAUCCCAGAAUCGAGACCACAGAAGCAUGUAAACAUGGAAACCGCUCAAACUCUGCAUCUCACUUGCAAAUAACUCGCUGAUUUUAGUUCACUUCUAAAAGGGUUAAAGAUCACUGUUACACUAACUCCUAGUUUGGAGCUUUUACAGUAAAGUUUUCAACCACAAAUUUUGGCCGUUCCAUAGUGCACCAUAAAGUUACCAAGAGAGCUUUUAACCAAAAUCACUUCUCCAAACCAAAAUCACUUUUUCAGAAAUCACGUUUUCAGAAGCUAGGCAACACAGGCCCAUAAUUGGGCAAUGCACUGUUUGGAGCUGGGCCAAACAGGUACCAAGUUCAGGAACUAAAACAUUUAGGCCAAAAGAUACAUGAACCAAAUCAGGAUAUCGCGAUAAUAUGGUUACCAUAUAUUUUUACUGUAUAAUAGUUGCUUAGGGAAGAAUAUGUCGACAGCAACAUCAGAGAAAUAAUUGUUUGUUUCAGCAGCUAGUUAGCAUGAAUGAUUGCCCCGUCAGGUUGAUGCCCCAGCUGACCCACAAAGACACAAUCUCAGUUUCCCGAUAUUUUAAUUGAAAUUUGGCUACAAUUUUGCCUAUGUAUUACAAAUGAGCCUUAUCCAACCUACCAGAACAUUAACUAAAUAAACCUUAUCCAACUCUAUGGGGCCUAUAUCAUAGAUUUACCUCAGGGUCUGAUCUCAUGCAAUACAAGCUUUCACCAUGCAUGCGUUGGAAAAAUAAAGAAUCCAAUGUAACUUAGUAGAUAAAUACUAAAUGCACAACAAAGAAGAACAAAGUAUAUUAACCAACAGAGAAACUGACCCAAAUCAACCCUUUCUAGACCCCAGCUCUCAAAUAUUCUGUAAUUUUCCGAUUUCUUCACUCAAUCUGAUCAUCUUUAUGUAAAUUAAAAAUGAAAUACUGUGUUUAAUUGUUUUGUUAUUUAUAAAUGAAAAGCCCCAUCAACUUUAUGAGUCAAGAAAAGGUCAAGAUUUCAUAAAAACAUUUACGAGUUUAGUGUUCAAAGACAACAAAAUACAAAUAACUUCAAUCUUUCCAAUGAAUGGCAAAGAACGUAUUCAAAAAUGUAAGUAUUUAUAAACAGAUUUACAAAUAUUAUGUACUACAUAGUACAAAUCUAUUCAGAAAGAAUUACCAUAUAUUAAUAGGUUACAACAAUACACAGAAUUGUUUGAAAAUUGACAGCAUGAAACAUUGUAUUAACAUCACUAAUGAACGUGUAAACUCGCUUGCUUAGUAAGCUAUACUUAACUGCAAUUGUAUCUUCUGGUCCAUGAAAUACCCAUUAUGAGCUUGAAAAGGCAACUUCUACAGUGAGGUUUUCUUCUCAACAGCAUAAUUUAUUCUGGCGAUGAAGUCGUCUACAGUCAUCGUUCCAAUCUCUCCACUAAACCGAGACCUAACUGUCACAUUUUUGGUUUCAACUUCUUUAGGCCCAACAACUGCCAUAAGGGGCACUUUCUGCUUCUCAGCGUUCCUUAUGAGCUUUGGUAAGCGCUCACCAUGGCAAAGCUCUGCACGGAUGCCAUGAGAUUGUAGCUUCGAGACAACCUCAUCACAGUAGUUCACCUAAAAAAAAAUGCAGGAUUCACUUGUGAUUAAAGCCUUCAAUAUGUUGUCUUCUCCUGAAGUUUAUUCAAGACGUAAUGCGAUUAAAGAAGAAACAAACCUCAUUAUCUGUGACAGGUAAAACACGAGCUUGCAUUGGGGAAAUCCAAAGAGGGAAAUCACCGGCAUAAUGUUCUAUGAGGACACCAAAGAAUCGCUCCAAAGAACCAAGAACAGCUCUGUGGACCAUAAUUGGUCGUCUUUUUUCAGCAUUUGAAUCCACAUAAGAAAUGUCAAACCGCUCUGGCAAGUUAAAAUCAACCUGCAGUAGUACCAUUAAAACUAAGAAGAGAUGUAUUAGUUACAUGUUUUCAAAAGUUCAAAACACGCACAAUUAUGAGUUUAAAUUAAAUUUUCAAUGGCUUGCCUGAACAGUAGAACAUUGCCACUUCCUUCCAAGAGCAUCCUCAAUUUUGAGAUCAAUCUUUGGACCAUAAAAAGCACCACCGCCUUCAUCAAUCUGGUAGUUCCAGCCUUUAUCAUCUAAAGCAUCUUUUAGGGCAGCUGUUGCUUUUUCCCAUAUAUUGUCACUACCAACAGAUUUACCUGGCCUAGUUGAAAGGUUCACCUCAUACUUGUUGAAACCAAACUGCAACAAUAUCUCCUCCGUCAGGUCAAGAACACCUUUUAUUUCACCUCUGAGUUGAUCAUCCAAACAAAAUAUAUGUGCAUCAUCCUGCAAGACCAAUAACAAAAAAUAAAAAAUAAGAAUAAAAGUUAGUUAUACAGUUGAAAGACUAAGAUAGUCUUCAUUCAAGCCAUGAUUCACCACAAAAAUACACUACCUGAGUAAACCCUCUCACACGAAACAGUCCAUGCAAGCUACCAGAGAGUUCAUAUCUGUAUACGGUUCCCAACUCUGCGAAUCUGAUAGGGAAUUCUUUAUAUGAGUGCAGUUUACUUUUGUAAUAUAGAAUGUGAUACGGGCAGUUCAUAGGACGGAGCUGAUAGAGUUCAUCUUCUAUAUUCAUCUGGUCAUACAUAUUCUCCCUGUAGAAAUCUAAAUGGCCACUUGUUUUCCAAAGAUCGGCCUUAGCGACAUGGGGGGUGUACAACAGCUUGUAUCCAUGUUGCAGAUGGAUUUUCUUCCAUGAAUCUUCAAUUAGAUGCCUGAUUAUGGCACCAUUUGGGUGCCAAAACACUAGUCCUCCACCAGCAUCUUCCUGUAAAAGAGGUGCAAAUAGAGAUUGAGAUACUAUGUAUAUUAUAAAUAUGUAUAUACUACCAAGAAAGACUUCAAUAAAGUUGGCAACAAGACAACUACUGUUACAUAGCCACAUGAAGAAUACUGCAAGGAUGACAUCAAAAGAUUAAUAAACAAAAUAAAUAAAUAAAUAAAUCUGAACUAAUUUUCCGAAGCUGUAAACUAAUUCUUGAGGGGCAUGACAAAAAUCAUGUUAGGCUACAUAUAACUUAAAGAUCAUGAGCUUAAUAGAUGGCUCACACCUAGUUGAGCUCUUCCUCCAGCCCUGAAUUUCAAAACCAAACCCUAGCAUAUGUGAUGUGUUCAAUCCUCGGUCCUGUCACCAGCCCAGCUAGCUCAGGAAUUCAAGAUCCUUGAUAUGGAAAUUCACAGGCAUGCUGCCAAAGAUGGCAAGGCAAUAUCGUGUGUCCCAUUGAAUGCAAGGACGCUAAAAUGGGCAAGGCAAGGGAGAGUGCCAAUCCAACUUGUCUACGAAUUAUUAGCAUGAAAGCACACCAAAAAGGUCAUGAAAUAUUCCUCAAUACUUCACAAAAUCAACUGACAUUGACCGUAUUUCGACAGAUACCUGCAGAGAGAAGAGAUCAAGAUCCUGUCCUAAACGCCUAUGAUCACGGCGCUUUGCCUCCUCCUUGAAGUGGAUGUAAGCCUUUAAUUGUUCUUCAUUCUCCCAUGCUGUUCCAUAUAUUCUUUGCAGCAUUGGUUUAUUCUCAUCACCUCUCCAGUAGGCCCCAGCAACAGAUUCAAGCUCAACAGCUUUCUUGCUUAUCUCUCCAGUGGAUUCCACAUGGGGCCCAGCACAUAGAUCCCACCAUUCAUUUCCUGGAUGAGAUAAAGAGGAUUAGCAUGAAAUAGAGGGACUGAAAAGACAGAAGGUAUUGUAAAUCUUACCUAUAUGAUAAAUGGUAAUAGGUUCUUCUCUGAUGCCUUCUAGAAUCUCCAACUUAUAUGGUUCAUUGAGGGCCAUGAUUCUGUUUCGAGCCUCUUCUCUAGAAACUUCUUCUCUUAUUAAUGGCAGAUUUCGGCUGAUGAUACGGUCCUACAGAUGAUGCAAGAAAUAAAUUCCCUACCCUGAAACAUUAUGCUAAUGAAUAUCUCCCAAUCUAAAUGAACAGAACCGACUACAGUAUGCAAGAAAAUUUAGUGUUAUGAAGUUCGAGCCAUGCUCACCAUUUCCUUUUUUAUUCUUUUAAGGUCUUUGUCCGUCAAAGGUUCCAUAUCGAAAUCAUAAUAGAAUCCAUUCUCAAUCCAUGGACCUAUAGUCACUUUAGAACCAGGGAAGAGUUUCUGAACAGCCAUGGCCAUGACAUGGGCACACUGCAGGGAAGAAAGGAGGGAAUAAAAAGUUGUAAACAGCAAAGCAAAAAAUUCAUAGAAUCAAAGAAGUUAAAGCUAUAAAAAGAUUAUGCCAUAGAACUUUAAGCAAUAUGCAUAGCAGCUGAAGGAAACAAAGAACCUCAAGAAAUGUCAUCGCAUCAACAUCAAAUGGAUCCGUGACAUUCCAAGUAUUGUUUUCCUACUACCCUGGACUAUUUUAUAUGGUUUCCUAUCUGGGGGCACUCUACUAUUAAGGCUUGCAUGCUUCCUCACAUUAUAUCUCGAUUCUUGUCGGUAAACACGGCAAAACAGGAAACCAUAACAACAGAUAAAGAAUACUGUUCUUUGCAUUCAAAUUCACUGUUUCUUUCUUCUUUCUAUUCUUUCAGAAUCUCUUUGAACGGUAAUCUAUUCAAGCUUCACACCGAUCUCAAUAUGGAUCCCAUGUUGAAUUGUCAAGAUUCGGAAGAGAUUUUCUUCCAAUUGACUACAAUCAAACCAUUCAUAUCUAAGCACAAUAGCCCAAGUAUAAAAAAGGAUAAUCCUUUCCUUUUCAACUGAGAAAUGCAAAAUUUGUGAUUAUAACAAUGUUGGCCUUUCCUGUUACGUAUUGUCAUCCUCCUGCACAUGCAUUUCGACUGAUCUAUACAAAUACAUCAGGAACAUCAAAAUCCAAAACAUAGACCUAAAGUAAGCAACCAAAUUACGCUUACAAAAUAACAUUAAUUGUCGUUGAGGAGCCGAUUCUCAAUAUAAUUCUCGAGCCAAUUUGUUUUCAAAUAUAAAAACUUCUAGUCAAAUAGAAAUAAGCGAUGUUUUGCUCAAAGACAAUGCAAAGAUCGAAUUUUUAUCCAAGAAAACACAAAUUUAAGAGUGAAAAACGAUACCGUGUGGCGAAUCCGAAGCAACCGCUCUGAAGAGUCGUUGGUGGGGAGCACAACCCUAUCCUUCUCCACCUCCACCUCCACCACCAUAGCCGCCGCCGACGACGCUUGUUGUUCCGGCUCCUCGGUCUCAACCGCGGCCUCUUCCGCCGCAACAGCGUGGGGCGGAGGGGAGCGGCGCGAAGGGCCAUGGCGCUUCCUCGCCGGAACCCUAGACGAAAGGGCGGGGGCUCUCCGGGCGAAGGUGAGGAGGAGCCUCCGAUGGAGCGGAGGAGAAGCUAGGGUUUGGCCGUGGGGGAGUAGCAAAGAGGGCGAUAUUGCCGCCAUUUGUGUGAACCUCGCCGCUCCGCUGUGACCACUCCGAGUUGGGGCAUACACGAUGAAUUUUAUUGGGGAUUAUUUCAUAAUUGCCCUUCUUGGUUCCUAUAAUUUCAUAUCCGCCCUUCGCCACAUGAAUUUUGCAAUUAUAUUUAAAUCUUUCAGUUACUAUUUUAUAUUUUAACUAAAAUAAAAGAAACAGAGAAUAAACUUUAAUAAAGUGCGAUAAAAAAUUUGUCAUUCGGUUACUAUUUUAUAUUUUAACUAAAUAUUAAAUUAAUAAUGGCUAUUGUGAUUGUCAAAGAGCACUAGUGCAUUUCUCCCUUUUGAUUACUAUAAUGAGUUAAAAAAAAUUAUUGGGAGAUUUGUUGUAUAACCUCUAUAACUAAUCCAUUAACAGCUUUUCUUCAAUAUUUUUUCAGUCGAAUUGCAGUUCCUAAAAAUCAAAUAAAUUUUUUAUUUAAAUUCUUAAAUUUCUAAAUUUAAUAUUUGAGAUGUCAAAUUUUUAGAUUUAUUCCAUUUUAGCCAAUUCCUAAAGAGGAAAAAAAAUUAUUAAUUAUACUUAGGGGUCGUUUAGUUGAAUAUAAUUAUAAAAACAGUGUACUUGAAAAUACAUACAGUUGUAGAUGCUGUAGUUAUAAUUGUAUCUUAGUUCAGCUUUUGUGAGUACAUCAAUUAUCUUUUAUUUUAAUAAACUAAAACUUUUAAAAAUUUUAAAAUCCUAAAUAAAUAAUGAGAAGCAAAAUCUACUAAAUCCGUAGUAGAGUGGAGAGAUUUUUUUUUUUUUUUUUUUUAGUUCGUGAGAUUUACGGCCCGGUACCAUUUCUUUUUAUUUUUUUAAUUAAUGAAAAGCAUUUCUUUUUCAUAGUUUAUUGAUCGCAUCGGUCUACGUCGACUAGUUGUCGUUGAGAGACCAUUUUCUUCUCCGACGCAUCUCCUCCGCCGUCGCCGGCGUUCUCUCUCUCUCUCUCUCUAAUCGAACCUUGGAGAACAAUGGGUCGUCGACAACGCGCGCUCCUCGUUCGCACCCUCCUCUUCCUCUUCGCCCUCAACACAGUCUCCGUCGUACUCUACUUCCUCCUCCACCCCCGUCCCCACCCAUCCACACCCCUCCUCCAAACCCUAGAAACCCUAACAACCGCCCCCCCUCCCCCCCGCUCCUCCUCCUCCCUUAAACCCUGGCCCUCCCUCCCUUCCUUUCUCCCAUGGCGCCCCUCUCCUCCCCUUCCCGUGCGCUCCUGCGAGGCCUACUUCGGCCAUGGCUUCUCCCGCCGCGUCGACGUCUUCGCCCGAGGCGACGGCGGCGGCGGCGGAUGGUUCCGGUGCCACCACAGCAAGACCUUGUCCAGCUCGAUCUGUGAGGGCGGGGGUCUGAGGAUGGAUCCGACCAGAAUCCUGAUGUCGGAGGGUGGGGAGAGGCUGGAUAAGGUGAUAGGGCGCGGCGAGGAGGACGAGCUCCCCAAGUACGAGCCCGGGGCGUUCCGGAUCGAGCGAGGGGAGGGAGGGGAUGCGGCGGCCCCCGCAGAUGGUAGGCUCGUUGAUGAGGCGUUUCUCGAUCUAUACAUACCGAAAGGGGCGAUUCAGAUGCACACGAUGCGGGCGCUCGUGGAAUCCGUGCGAGUAGUUGGCCGCGGCGAGCUCGAAUGCUCUCAGGUUAGGGUUUUAGUGGCUCGCCACUGCAUUAAACAUGCAUUGUCUGCAAAAAGGAGGGGUUGGAAUUUUUCUUUUGUUUAAUUCCCCCUUUCCUUUAAUUACCUCCUUUACUAUUUAAAUGUUUGUGUUGUUAGUGACAUAAACGCUUUUGAGUAUCUGUGUCACUUCUUAAUUUAUUAAAGUUCCACUUUUGAGUAUCUAUGUCACUAACCAGAUAAAUGUGUCCCUUUGUAUGAACUAGGGAGCUAUAGAGAGGCAAAGCCAGGAUUUGGCUAAUUCGGGUGAGAUUGCCAAAUUCGGACCGGAUUACCCUGCAUAUGGAAAAGCUGUUUUUGUGAUUUGAUUCCAUGAAAAGAAAGUCACAGAGGAGUGGGCCGAGUUGAUAAAAGAAGUCUUGUAAUUUUUAGUGUCUGGUGUAAUUUAAUGUUGGCAUAAUUUGCCUAAAUUCCAAAUUUAUUAGCUUGUUCUCCCCUGACAAUAUCUUUCUGCAUACAUGUCAAUCUUGAUCUUGGCUUGAAGCUUUAGCUGAGAUCAAGAAACUAAAACUUAGUUCUUUCGUGGUUGUCCAGUUGUUGUCGAUCCAAGACUACCAGUGUCAAACAGAAACAUCUUUGUCUUGAUUAUAACUAGUCUAAAGGAGACAAAUUUUAAUACCGAAUUGGUCCAAAAUUAGGUUAUCAGGACAAACAAAAUUUAUAUCUGGAUCAUCUAUGAUACUAGUAUUUUGUGAUCCUUUCAAUGAGAAAAAUUAACGUUAACAAUACAGUUCAUAGACCCUCUUUAAAAAUCUCUUUAAUUUAGAAAAUGAUGUCGAACUGAUUUUUAUUGUGAUUACUCGGAAUUUUCUGCUUUUUGCUGACUUAAGAACCAGCACCAUAAUUUCUGAUAAUGCCAAAAUUUUCCAUUUCGAAAUUCUAGGAGCCUCACAACAUCAAUAUUUUUGUGUGGCGAGAGUUAUGCAUCCAACUGCAAACUAAAUGGAGAGCAAUUCUACAGAUAAGAUAAAACUAGGACUUGUUAUGCAUAAAAUCUUGGGUUUCAUUGCAGGAAUUUGUUCCUUAUAGAAGUUAAUUUUCGUCGUACGUUAAGAUGCUUCAUUUGUCCUAUAUUGGUUAUUAUUAAUUAGGUCUAUUGUGGAUCUCUAAUCUUUAUCGUCUCUUUCCCUCAGUACUGAUUGUUCUUAAAUAACUUUUUCUUGCAGUGGAUUGAUGAACCAACCCUUUUGGUGACUCGUUUUGAAUAUGCAAACCUUUUCCACACAGUAACUGAUUGGUAUAACGCCUAUGUCAGUUCUAGAGUUGCAGACUUACCUGGACGGCCUAAUUUGGUGUUUAUUGAUGGGCAUUGCAAGGUAUGUGAUCUCCUUUACUGCCCAGUUUUACUGCCUGGAUGGAUUAAUAACUUAAAUAGGUGAAAAAUAUUUAUUGUGGGGGAUAAUUUACAAUUCAAGAAUAGAUACUCUUUUGCAUUGUGAAACUUCUUACCAUCAAAUACAUGAUGUUUAGUAAUAUAUGAAACUUUUCAGCUUGUUAAGAUAGUUUAGGUUGCCAGUAUAAUUUACCAUGCAAUCAUCAUUUUUACUCUGAUCAUUUCUGAAAUAGUUAGGGUUGACUAUGAGAUGUGUCCAUGCAGUAUUUGAUUUGUCAAUAAAACUAGAUAGUGUAACGUCCUUCUUGUCUACAAUUAGGAUAUCAAUUGCUCGAGCGUCUUACCAUCUUAUUCUAUUGUCCUUCUCCACGAGAGUUUCUACACUGUUCUACUGCCAGCCUUCGUCUUUGCUGUCCUGAACAUAUGAGGGUGAUGAAUUACAUGGUUGACCCAGUGCUUCAUACAGUCUGAUUAGUUGUUUGUUUUUCUGCCCUGCUUCGUAUCCAAACAACGCCUACAUGAUGCAGCUCAUUCUUACUUCUUGUUUCACCAUUUUAAUGUCGUUUUCCAACUUCUGGUUCUGGAUGGAAUGUCGUUCUACUGCCUAAAACCUUCUAAAAGCUUGUGGCCAUUUGACAGUCUAUAGACUAUGUACUCAAAACCACCUGAUAAUGUGCCUAAUAAUGUAAUAGGAACUUCUGUGCCAAUUUGUGGCGAUAUAAGAUUGUAAUAUAACCAUUCAACCAUUCAUUUUGUGACUACUCGUUCACUAGACAAAUGAAGUCAAAAAAUUAUAAAAUUUGGUUUCUAGAUAGUUCCAAUAGCGUAAAUCAUGUCUAACUAAACCGAUCACCGAAUCGGAUGUCCCAUCAUUGAAAACAACUUACAAGUACUGAGGCCUUCGUACUUUCAAAAGCAUAGGAGGAGCCUAGCUCUCUCUCUCUCUCUCUCUCUCUCUCUCUCUUUAUAUAUAUAUAUAUAUUAUAAUAUAUAUAUAUAUAGUCCGGGCUCAUGGUGCUUGUAAAAGCAGUCAAGCACUUGGUGCUUGUAAAUUUUUACCUUAGAUCUACGCCUUUGAUCAUUUUUAUCCGUUAAUAUACACAUUCAACCAACCACCCAUUCAACCUAUAUAUAGAAUUGAGCUCCUAUGCUUUUAAAAGUACCAAGUCAUUGGUGGUUGUAAGUUUUCGGCCCUUGGAUUAAGGGAUGUGCGAUUAGGAUGAUGUGGGCCCUAGGGUUGAGUGGGUGGUUGGUGAAUAGUAUAAUCUAACGGAUAAAAAUGAUCAAAGGCUAGAUCUAAGGAUAAAAAAUUUACAAGCAUCAAGUGCUUGGUGCUUUUACAAGCACCAUAGCGCGACUCUACAUAUAUAUAUAUAUAGGCUGGGGGCUUGGGCUACUAUACUAUAUCAGUAUAGAGCCCUUGUAUCAUAAGUUUUCGGCAAUUCGAAUGAAAAAAUGUGUGGUUAGGAUGAGAGUGGUUACGCUUAGUUGAUAGGGCCCCCGAUUGAUGUGGUGGUUGGUUAAUAGUAUAAUCUAAGGGUGAAAAUGAUUAAAAGAUAAUCUAACACCCAAAAACUUUAGUACAAGAGCUCUAUACUCGAUAACAUAGUAGCCGGACGUCUAUAUAUAUAUAUAUAUAUAUAUAUAUAUAUAUAUAUAUAUAUAUAUAUAUAUAUAUAUAUAUGAAGCUUAUAGUUUUCUCAAAUUACUUUUAUACUUUCUGCACUUGCUUCAAAUACCCGAAAGGUUAGUCAUCUUCCAUCAGCUCCCUUAAGGUGGGCACUCUUUGGGUGAUUUAUUUCUUGUAUGUAUUUUUCAGAAGAUAUUUGCCUUCAUAAUUUUGUUCUUCAGCUGUUAAGAAAGGGGGAAAGGAGUAUUUAUAAGCCCAUAUCAUACACCUUGCAGGCCCCAUUGGAAGAGACUUGGGAAGCACUCUUUUCAAGCGUUAGAUAUGCCAAAAACUUCUCUGGUCCCGUCUGUUUUCGUCAUGCCAUCCUUUCUCCCUUAGGUUACGAGACUGCUCUCUUUAAAGGCCUAACAGAGAGCUUCAGCUGUCAAGGUGCCUCAGCCGACACCCUCCGGCAAAAUCCAAAUUAUCAGAAAACAGCUAGAUUAUCUGAAUUUGGUGAGAUGCUCAUAGCAGCAUUUGGCCUUUUAGAAAACCGAGAGUUACCAAUGAAAAAGAUAUCAAAAGUGCAAAAUGUUCUCUUUAUACGCCGUGAAGAUUACUUAGCCCACCCACGCCAUAGUGGGAAGGUCGAGUCCCGGCUAAGUAAUGAGCAGGAAGUUUUUGAUGCAACCAAGAAUUGGGCAAAGGACCAGAAGAAAUGCAGAAUAAAUGUUGUAAAUGGUCUUUUUGCUCACAUGCAUAUGAAGGAGCAGCUUCUUGCUGUCCGAGAAGCUUCCGUUGUGAUAGGAGCUCAUGGAGCUGGGCUAACUCACUUGGUGGUGGCGACUCCGGAUACGAUAGUCCUUGAGAUCAUCAGUAGCAUGUAUAGGCGCCCGCACUUUUCUUUGAUCUCGCAGUGGAAGGGUUUAGAGUAUCAUGCUAUCAAUCUUGCCGGAUCAUAUGCGAGGCCUGAUGAGGUUGUUGCUGAGCUGAGCAGAAUAAUGGAAAGCCUUGGAUGCUAAAAAGAAAAGAGGAAGUGCCACCUUCUUAUCAAGCAUGGAAAAAUUUGAUAUGGCACAGAGUUUGUAAGCUAAAACUAAAGUCCGAUUUGUCUAUUCUGGAAACUCAUACUUUGACUACGUGCUCAUUGGAUAGGAAAACUUUGCAUGUUGCAUGCCGAGUGACAUAGAUUUUUGGUGACUAUUUCAGUCUAAGAACAGGAGACCACCGCAUAAUCAGGUAUACUGAAGUAGGGAGGUUUUCGGAACUGCCCUAAUUUAUACAUUCUGCAAUGCAGAAGGUUGAGUUUAUGCUGGUGGAGAAAAACUCUUUUAUUGUUUCUUUUAUGGGAGAUAGUUGGUACCCAUGGUAAUAGCAUGAUAGCAGCUGUCCAAUCUAAGGGAAUUAUAGAUUGUUUAUUUGUUGAGACACUGUAGAUAAAGAGAAGCACUUGUUUUGUCAAUAUUUUUUAUUUGUGUUUGAUGUCGAAGGCAGUGAUUUCAUACGUCUACUGUUUUCAGCUAUCCUCUUGAUUAUUUGAAUUAUUAUUAUUUGCUUGCUGAUAUCUAUGAAGUUUGAAUGCACAUUCCCUGCAUUACCCUUUGUUUGCGGAUGUGGUGAUGGAAAGUGCUUCUAUCAAUUAUUUCGAGGAGUAGGGUUUGUAUGUUAUCAGGAGAAUAGAGACUUUCGUGCUCUAAACUGUUUUUGAUAGUGGAACUUCCGAAUCGACGAUUGACGAUGUUAAAUUUGAUCUAGCAUAUUUGAAUUAUUUAGAAAAUAAAUUUUAUGAUUUUUUAAUAUAAUUUAACUAGUAAUUCAAAGGAUUCAAAAUUAACAAUUGAAAAUAAAAAAUUUAUAAAAAAUUAUGAUAUAAGAGUAAAAUUUUCAAUCGGGGAUAUUUAUUUUGUUGUAGAUAGUAUAAAAUUUUUUUAUCAAAAUAUCAUCUUAUUUGAAUAUUUUUAUACCAUUAAAUUUGUAAAUGGUACACAUAGACUAUUAAAAAUUAUUAAUUUUAAAUCCUUUCAAUUAUUAGAUAAAUGAUAUGGAAAAAUCGUAAAAUUUAUUUUUCUAAAUAGUUAAAAUACACUAGAUUAAGUCUGACGAUGCUAAAUCAAGUCAAACAAAAGUUAUCAUCGAUUCAAAAAUUUAAUAAUAAAAAACAACAUAUUUCAAGCAACUCUUAUUUCCAAUAGUACAGAAGUUCUACUCUUAUUUCAAGCUCUCAUCCACCGAAGUUAGGUUUUACGCUGUCAGAAAUUUAUUAUUUUGAUUAGCAAUAUUAUAAAAUAUAGAUUUAUCAGUUUGAAUAGUAAAAAAAUAGGAAAUUAAGAAAUUUGUAUACAAGAAAAAAACAAGUAUCGUCAGUUGCUGAGAUCAGCAAUGACAUAUUAGCAAUAAAACAGAUCAUACGCAAGGGUCAUACAUUAAUAAGAUUACCAUCAAGAUAUAAGAUACUACUACCUUCACUGAAUCUCAUUGGACCGCUUGAAAGACAUAAAUGAGCAUCACAUAACAAAGAAGAAUCGAGCACCACAACAUUCCAUGCUUCUCCUCUUAACGGCCCAGGUAAAAUCUGGUUAUGCAGGUCUAACCUUUUUGAUUCACUGCCACAAAAGGUUUAAAGAAUGUAAUGAUAUGACAAACUACUUUGGAGUAAGACCAACUAUCCAUUCCUUGAUGUCAUUAAAUUAAAAAAAAUAAAAGUUUUGCAGCAGUAAAGGGAGAAACGUCAGGUUCAACUCAACCUCACCUCCUCACGAGAGGUUACUACUCUGAACAAUUGUGUUUUUGGAGAACAAAGCUCCACCAAAAAGAAUGAAGGGCGAAUAUCUCCCUCUACAAUAAUUAUUAAAACCGUUAAAAAUGCUUAAACAAAAUCAAAGUGAAAAACUCCUCAAAUCAAAAUUUUUUGAAGAAAACACGUUUUCAUCACCAUCUGAAAAUGAUGAUCUUAUUGUAAAUAACCUCUUUCCUUAAGCGCCGCCAGAUCCGUACUUCUUUCCAAAGACGAUCAGCUGCAACUUGUCGUACCCGGCAAGGACACCGGCACCGGCUACCGCGCGCAGAAUAUUCGCACCUGCGCCCUUGAAGAGAGACUUGGGCCCCUCAUUCUUGAGAAUCUGAGAGAAAGCGUCGAAGGAGCUCUUGUACUUGACAGCUUCACCAGAGGUCAUCAUCAUCCUUCUGCGCACAGUAUCAAUCGGAUAGGAUGCAAGUCCUGCUCCAUUUGUUAUGAGCCAACCAAGGGCAAAGCUUGCAAAGAAACUAUCCUGCAAACAUACAGAAUGAAAACUACAUUUGAGUACCAGCAAAGAUGAAUUUCUAUGCUCAACAUGACGAUAUACUGAUAUUACUAUGCCAGUCAUAUGUAUAAGCUGCCAUUUCCCCACAUUAUCCACUUUGGGUCUGUUUGGAGGGUCUCACAAAAGAUUUAACAUGUAACACUUCCUCCUUGAGCGUGCAUAGAAAAAAGAUUGACUGACAGAACAACUAGCCUUUCCAACAUAAUAUUUUUCUUUUUAGGUACUGACUUGCAAAUUGCAACUUGCAAGCCUUCACAGAGCUAUAGCACAACUUCAAAUAGUACAUGAGAUUUUUUUAAAAACUACAUCCACAGUUACAUCUCAGUUUGAGAAAAUUUGAUUUGUUGAAACUUAACGAUUCCAUAGAAUAUGUUAUCAAAUAUUCGUGAAAAAGCCAAAUAAUCUGGUACAUUACAAAAUCUAGCAUCAAAAUGGUUACAAAUACUGUUAAGCUCUGCCAGAGAGGCACUUAAAACGAGCAUGAUGUAAAAUUAGGUAGUAAAGUCAACAUUCUUGAAGUUGAGGGAGCCAUUUCAAGAUGGCAUAUGUUUCAGGUAAGGUCUGCAUGUUUUCGCCAAUUUUUCGUACCAUUAGCAUUCUAAUUUCAAGGCAUAUUAUUCAAGCAUCAUGUAAUAGGGUACUACAUAUUCUAACUAAAUCUACUCAACAGAAAAUGUGAGUGUACCUGCAUUGAUCCAGUAAGCACCACCGGCUUCAAAGAAUCAUACAUACCAAAGUACAGGCCACGAUAGACGAUAAUUCCAACACAAGAAAUGUUAAAUCCACGAUAAAGGCCGGCAAUACCAUCUGAUUGCAAAGUCUUUCUAUAGACAUCAACAAGACCAUUGAAUUGUCUCUCGCCUCCUUUCUUAGCUGCUUUUGCAUCAUUUGCCAGACGAGUCCUGGCAUAGUCAAGAGAGUACACAAACAGAAGUGAAGAAGCACCGGCCGCACCACCUGAAGCGAGAUUACCGGCGAACCAUUUCCAGUACCCAUCUUUGUCUUUCUUGAAAUUGAACAGCCUCUUGAAGUAGUCCUUAAAUGCAAAGUUCAAAGCCUAGGAGACAGACAUUGAUGAAGGGGGUUAGAAUGAUAGAAACACAAAAGCCAUCUGAAAAUCGGCAAAUGAGGAAUAAUUGUCACUGAAGAACGAUCAAAACCAAUAUUCGGCAGAUUUUGCAGAAACUUUCAACAAGAGAAUUUCACAGUAAAAGAACAAGCAGGUCGCAUAUUGAAUGGUAGUCCUAGCUCAAGUGUGGAACCAAAAGAAUGCAAUAUAACUAACUAUUUGGUGCCAGCUAUAGAAUGAUAGCCUGAAGCUAGGAAACAGUCUGGAAUUUUUACCCUUAAAUGUUGACAAGGCAUGAAAUUCACUUUGUCAGACGAUAGAAGAACAAAGGAUCUACGCCCUUGAAGCUCAACUAAUUAAAAGUUAUAGCUGCACAAUUGCAGCAAUGAUAUUGAUGCCUCUUCUCGAUGAAGGAUUACUCAUCACAGUUUCAGUAUUCAAUAACAAGUAUUAAUAUCAGAUUAUGAACAUAGAUGAACUACCGAAUACCUGUGUCGGGAAAUAGCGGAUCACAUUUGCUGUGUUCCCCCGCCAUAAGGAGGCAAAACCUUCCUCUUUGAUUGUCCGACCAAAGCAGUCCGUGAUCCCCUUAUACGGCUGAGAUAGCCUACCACUCUUGAUCAUUUCAUCCUGGUUCUGAAUCAGGAGCUUCACACGCUCAAUAGGAGCAGCGGCAGUUUUGGAAACAGCAGCAGACACUCCUCCCAUAAGGAAGUCAAUAGCAAAGUUGGCAAAGCCUUUCUCAGCAGGUGCAUUAGCAUAAACAGGAAAUACAGAUGCUGCCACAGGAAGAGUGAUGCUGCAACCAUCUAGUGGCAUAAGAGGACUCCUUAGGCCCUCAUUCAUGAAGUUCACUGUUGUUAAGCGCCUCUCAUAUGAAGAGAGCAUGCAAAAGCCACUGUUGUGAGUAUGCAGGCCUUGAGAGAAGUUUGAAUUGAUGCGGAAUUGACCACCGACCUUCUGAAUGAUUGUGGGGUGGUUAACCUGAUCCGCCAUAUCUUUAAAGAAAUAGCCUACACUCAACAGCCCAUAUUUUAUGUUCAGUAAAUAUUGCAGAAACUUGCACAUUUUGUAAACAGUAUUAACUCAGCCUAUUAGAGGUCAAAAAGAAACUACCAGCAAAAAUGAUAAAUAAAGAUUAAUCAGAUUCAAAAUCUUCUCUAGCUCUUGGGACUCUACUGUUGUUUAUGUAAUAUGGUAGCUUGGAUCCAUUUAACUCUCAGAAGCAGAAUUUGCAUUGGAUCUUAACAAGAUUCUUUAACGUCACAGUAUACAUUCUUACAAUCAGAUGGCAAUGCUGUUUUUUGAGAAUUGGUUGCACUAAAAUUCAGAAAUCCAAUCAAGUUUACGCACAAAUCAGACCAACUAAUGCAGGAAAAUAUUUACUUGACAGAUCAGCAUGCAAUGUUUCAAAUUAUGCAAAAUGGCCAUGUAUUUUGUAGAUCUAGUCACUAGAUAACUAUACAUAACAGCCAGAAACUAUAGUUUAAUAAAAGCAAUGUAGAUUCAAACAGGUAGAAGAUAGUGGUAUAUAAACAAUCUGCGCUUCUACUGAUAUAAGUAAAUCUCUAAAACCAUUUUUAAGAACAUAAAACUUUCGAGAAAAAGAAUCACGGCAAAUAUGCAUAAAUACACACUUAUAAUUCUACAAUACACACAUAAUAGAUCACGACCUCAACAGGUUAUCCAUUAACAAUUAGAUCUUGGAAAUGCCAAACUAUAAGCGGUCCAUCUGUCAAAUAAAGAUUUAUACCCUUAAAUCUUGAUCAGAUGGUCAUAAUCAUCAAACAUACUGUUACAAUCAAUUCUACCACAAAUGCUCCAUAUGAAAACAAAUACCAGGGCACGUUUUGGGGCACAUUCAAGUCGGGGAAAGUAUUAAACUCGUACCUACCCCAAACCCAGAUCACGACUAAUUCUCUUGCCCUGUAGCCAUAAGCCUAAAUCAAACCUGACCCAUGAGGGGGAUUAGGGAUCUGGUCCCGCUGGGGUCCCAGCACUACAUUGCACGGGCUAAAUUUGAUUUGCUACAUUAUGUGAGCAAUCCAUUCCGACGACCCAGCAGAGCUGGAUCUUCAUUUGCUUAUUCAACACCAAACUUUUCCUACUACAGAUGUGACAGACAUACAAUAAAUAGUUAAUUUUCAACUUAGAAGAAAUAUGACAAUAUGGAGGCCCCAAGCACCAAUUCCGACCCAAAUCGACCCAAGCAGAGUAGGAAAAGCAUCAAGAGAUUAAAUUAAAAAAAAAAAGAGGAUUGACAAUAAAAACUAAAAUAAAAAUCAAAUCUAAGAAAUCAUUAUCAUUAUACACUUUAAUUUCGUGAUGAAUAUCAACAAUCAGUCCGCCACAAAAGUCAAACCAGGCAGGGAGAAAAGUAAUCCAAAUCCAAAUUUACAUCUAGACUAAAUUAUAUCACGAAAAAUUAAAAAAAAUAAUCUAGACAAGAACCGAUUAAAUCUACCGGAAAAGCUCAGAUCUACGGGAGAAAGGCGCAGACAAAAUGAUACCAAAUGAAUCUGAAAAUCAAAUCAAAGUAGAUCAAAAUGCUCACGAUGCAAAAAAAGAUCAGAUAACUAGGGGAAAAAAGAAAAAUAUUUAAAAUGACGGGAAAUGACAAAACGAAGCGAAUCUAGAACAGAGACAAGAGUCGCCUUCACCGGAAAAAAUUAUGAAAAAAACGAAAAAUCAAACAAGAAACGGAGUCUUACCUCUCUCCACGCAAAAUCGGAGAUCCAAACGCUUCCAGAAGAAUAUUACAAUAGAAACAAACAGAUCAAUGCAGAUCGAUCGCUAAAUAGAAGCCAUCGUCACAAUCAGAAUCCGCAAAGCGGAAUAUCAAAAACCAUAAAAAAAAAAAAAAAAAUCAACAAUGAUUGUAUAAAAAACGAUCGAUCUAAGUAGAUCUACAGAUCAAGAACCGAAUGAAAUGAUACUAUAGAUUGAAUAAAAAAGAAAACGAAGAGUUUAUGAUCGAUCCACCGCCUUACCCUUCGGAAUCGGGACUUGGGAGGCUAGGUUUUUAGGGCACGGCGAUUCCCACUCUCUCUCUCUCUCUCUCUCUCUCUCUCUCUCUCUUUGCUUUGAAUUGCGCUCCUUGGCCUCUCGCUUAAAGCGGAGGGGAAGAUGCAAAGAGGAGGCGGAGAGGGAAUGGAGGGAGAGCGCGGACCAAUGAGAAAGCGACGAACGAGGCUCUCUCGGAAAGCUUUUAGUGCGCCACUUUAUGGUAAGUUACGAACGUCCACAUCGUGCGCUCCCCGCAUAGAAACCUUGUAUGCGAGAAUAAGAGUCGGAGUUUAUGGAGACCCCCUCAACUGCUGUUACAAUUUAAAAUUACUCCCUCAUCCUUUCUUUUCUUUGAUAAAAUCUAACUUCUUUAAUUUUUUUUAUUCGAGUUAUCUUAGUCAAAUAAAUUGAAAAAUUUUGCAAAUCAAUAGUAGGUCGUUAUUUGAUAUUUCUAAUUUUUAAAAAAAUUGAAUUUAUAAUCAAGCGUGUGAAUUUUUUUUUAAUACCUAUAAGCGAAAGCUUUUGCAUAUGGGCAAAAUUUUGCUGCUCAUUAGUACAAAAAUAUAUUGUAUAAUUUGAACAGUGCAGUUAAACGAAAAUCUUUUAGCACAAUGUUCUUUUUUACAAAGUGUAGAUGUUUGAUAAAUAUAAUAGAAAAGCCUUUUAAAAAGCGUGAUAUUUUGGUCAUCGAAUUAAUUUAUUAUAAAUUUUAGUCUAAAUUUUAUAAAAUAUUAUAAUAAAGUUUUUCAGUCAAAUUAAAUUGAUUGAAUGCAAUGAGUUGCUAAUAUGACGGUAAUAUAUAAUCAGUCUGCGACAUCAUAAUGACUCAAGUAUUAUAUUAGCAAAAUGUUAAUAUUCAGUCAUCUAAAUUGAUGACUAAAAUUAAUCUUAGAAUUUAAUUAUAAUUUUUUUUCAUAAAUUCAUGUUAAAAUUAUUAUAGUAAAUUAAAGAUCGAAACUUAAACACCUCAAUAGUUCGAGACUAAAAAUAUAAUUUAGUCUUGAUGAAACACAGAAGUAAACAAUAUUUUUUUUUUUUUGAGAAAUAGAUAGCACGCUAUUCGUUUCGUUUAUUUCAUUUAGAAAUAAAUUUUACUGCAUAUAUAAAUUAACUAAAAUUUAAAUUUGAAAUUUCAGAUACCAACUACCAAAUUUUUUUACCACUUGCUUCUAAAGACUCGGUAGAAGUGAACAACAUUAAUUGGUACAUUCUAGAAGCAUGCAUGAGUUGACAUUAGAGAGAUAUUCCUACUGGCGUGGAGUGGGGCGGCUAGGAUCAUCCAAUGGCGGACGACGGUUCGUCUCACAUGGGGACCUUGGAAGUUGUGCCAUAUAUGUUACGUUUUUAGUUGAGCUGCGAUGAGCUGUUGGGGCACGCGACACCUCUCACAGCCUCCCCUUCAAAUCAAUUAAAAAAAAAAAUGCAAUGGUGAAAAAAUUAAAAAAUACAUAAUUUAUAUUAUUUAAUAUGAAAUAAUACAGAUAGAUAGAUAGGAUGUAUUUAAUAAUUUGUUUUCUAAACCGGAGAUGAGAGGGGACGCAUCAAAAUUCGCGAGAAGCACGAACACAAUUUCACGCAGAAAGUGAGAUAGCCUAAAAUCUACAUAUUUGGGAGUGUGAAUUCAAUAAUUUUGUAACGAAUAUAUGCACUCAAUAAUAAUUUUGUUGAAAUAGCAACUACAUGUGUUUAAUUUAUCACAGACAAGCCGGAUUUUUACCUUUUUAUUCUAAGCUAUUCCGAGUUUUACUUAGAUUGUAAAUUUUCCAAAGCAAAAGCACCACCCUUAAAUCGUCUCGUCAAUGUCUCGGAGGUGGUGGGGCCCGUGGGUUCGGUGGGAUCAAUGCAGUCGCAUGCGGCUAGCGGGUGCGGCACCUUCCAAACUAUGCGGUGCAACGCAUAAACAUCAGGAUUAUGCGGGUGACACGUGGGGCCCGCAUGUCAGUGGCACAGCAUAAGCGUGGCCAUCUCUCGCACCGUCGCACACCGCGUGCAUCUCAUUGAGAACUUGCCUUCUAAAUUUGGGGGGGAGGAAUAAUUAAAGGUUGUUGUGUGCUUUUGGUUGUUUGUUUUUAUAAUUUUUCCUGCUCUAGUCUUUUUUUUUUUUUUGGGCCCUUUCGAUAGAGUUGGAUGAACGCACACGGAUCCUCAAAAAAAAGCGUAUAUCCAGUUUUGACCCGUUUCCUUUUUUUGGUAUGAUGAUGAUUGGAAUUAGUUCCCUCCUCUUUACUUCACAUUUUGUUCUGUUUGUACACUUGGAAAAUUAAGCAAUGUUUUUUGUCUUAAAAAUAUAUUUAAAAUAAUAAGCAAAUAAGUAGCAAUUCUUCUGACUUUUUUUUUUUAUUCAAACAGUUCUCGUAUCCAAACAUCUCAGAUCAACAAUUGAGCACACUAUGGCUUAGUUUGGUAUUGAGGCCUAUCAAACAUUAUUAGAUAAAAUAGAGUUGAGAAAAAAACAUAAGAGUUAUGCUUUUGCGUUCUCCGGUGGGACCGCAGAAAAUAUAUCAUAACCGACUCAUCGCAAUAUGCGAAACGCAAUAUUACGUAUGAAAAUAAAUAGGGUAUUUUUUGAACGUACUUUCUCACCGCACGUAAUACAAUCUCCAUGCAAUUCCAAACGAAGCCCAUGUAGUUUAUAGUUGUUGUGAAAGCUCUGCUGGGGCUAAAUAUGCCCUUUGUAGUUCAAAAAGGCCAGAUUAUACAUUCCACAGUUUGCAAAUUGUGCAAUACAUCAUCCUUCGCUAAUACCAAAGGCCACAAAAUUUUUUAAUACUAGCAAAGAGCCUUUCGAACCGACCGUCCCAAGAGCAAGUGGCAAAGAGCAUGGUGGCUGGUACCCGAGACCCAAAUUCGAAUUCUAGUUGAUUCAUAUUUCCAGCUAAGUUUAUUUAUAAAUGAAAUAAACGAAGCGGGUAGCGUGCUACCUAUCUUUCUCUCUCAAAAAAAAAAAGAAAAAAGCAAGGAGCCUUUCGAGAGAGAGAUCACAGCUUGAUGAGCCGCGUUUAGCAUCAUUUUAGAAUUUACAAAGAAUAAAAUUAAUGGUUACUGCAUUUUUAAAGAUGUUUUAAUAUAGAAAAAAGAAAUAAUAGCACCGAAGAGAUCCCACGGGUAUUAGAUCAGGCUCCAACAUGGUCUUUUGGGCUGAGAUACGAUUUGAUCACUUGGGAUACUAACUAAGAUUAGGCCCAUUUGAGGCCCAUUAACGAGAGGACAAGAUCAAAACCGUGUUGGGAAGAAGUGGGCUGGUAUUAAUCUGGGCCGGGCCAAAUCUCUCAGCAUUCGCCAAACAGUGCUUCUUAUGGGCCGACUAGGCCUUUUCACCAAAUCCCUCAAAAAUUCUUCUGUGCCUUUAGAGUGGUACAGUAGGAUUGAGCUUCCACCUGAGAGCAGUGAAAUGUGUUUUUUUUUUUUUUUUUUACUUCAGCAAAAAUCAGAAGUUUCAAAUUAGAGUUUACGAUUUUGAGAUAUAAAGAUUUUAUUUCUUAGGCUUCAUUUGGCAGGGCAUUUUAGUCCACAAAUGUGCAGUUAGUGCGAUGUCGAAUGCCUCAACUCACAUAAGGAGCCAUGUAUGGCGAGCUCGAAGCCGAACACCUCACCUCAUACACGGAGCCAUAAGGUGAGACAUGGAGUCACAUUUCCGCUAGAAGUGUACUCUUAAGCUAGACUUGGGAUACAAGUCAUACAACUGCUUCAUUAUUUUCUCCAUUUCCACGCGAGUUUGCGCAAGCGUUAAAGUAGCAUUGCGCAAAACUGCACGGCACCGGAGCAGGAGUGGACUCAUGACCUCCUGAACCGCACCACAGGCCUAGAACUUUGUUUCAACCUCCAUCCAAUCCAGAAGCUCCAAUAUUUGCUAAAGAUCCAAAUUGCAAUUAAGUAAAGAAGAUAUUACAGAAGUUGGACUAGAAAAGCACUUAUUUAUACUGUAAUUAUAUAUAUAUAAGUUUUAAUUAUACCUCUCAUUUGUUUCACUUCCUAACCACCGGAUCGUAAUGUGAAAUCAAAUCACUUUGUUAGUAAUUAGAAAUUUGCUUUUCACUUAAAUCAAACCGCAAAUAUCUAUGUACGUAUCUAUCAUUUUUAAUACCAAAAAUGAUAGUUAUCGCAUUCGAUGGUUAGAAUAAGUUUGUCCACACACCCUACUACCCAUCAAAUCACCGAAACAUGGGUUUACAUAUAAGUUGAGCUGAAUCUUACUACAUUUAAGCUCCGUUACAUCUACAUAAUUCUCUAAUUCACAUAUUGCAUUAAUUACCACUCAUCAUAAAUUCCAUCUACGUACUCAUGAGCAAACAUGCCUUACAUGUCCUUUGAAUGUAUACUUUGGUGGGGAAUUAGGGGAUCAGUUGUGAGCUGUCACGGGACUAAGUAAAAGAAUAGAAUUAAUGGGUGUGAUCAGAAAAUGAAGUGCCAACUAACAAUUAAUAGGGGUUUUGGUUGUCAGAGCAGCUCUUCUGAACAGAGAAUGUGGGUGUGAGUCCCUUUCACCUGUGUGAUAUCUCUGGCUUUCUCUGUGCAUAGAAAGGGAAAUAAGAAGGCCCAGUUCACAAUUAAAGUGGCUUUGCAAAUUUACUAUCCUCUCGUAUUACCUCUCGACUUGUCGACCACGUUCGACUGAACUACUGUCCAGUUUCAAUUGUACAAUGAUUAAUUCUUCGGUACAACACUGCCAUCUGAGCGCACCCUCAACUUUUUCUCGUAUAAUGACUUGGAAACUUUGCUACAUUAAUUCUAGAGGGUCGCGCGCUAGCUAUAUAUGUUCCCGUUAGGGGUGAGCGAUGUCAAUCUUUACAGAUUUAAUUAGUAGUAAGAUAAGCUUUCACAAAGUUUGUUGAUUAUGCGUCAAUGGAAGUCUAUGUACAUGUAAUGGACUUGUAUACUAGGAGGUAAUGCAUGGUUUAACAAGAUUAAUAUUCUCUUAUCACAAAUGGUAUUAAUUGGUGCUGCACAGGAUACUUUUAUUUCUAUGGGUCCAUGCAUUUACAUGUAGUCAAAGAUGACUUGGACUAUAAUCUAGCUCUCUCCAAUACCCUCAAUAUAAACAUGCGAAGCGUGAUUGAUAAAAGGAACUUAAUUAUGUUAAAGGACGAAAUAUAUUAAGAACUUAACUUGAGCUAUCCUAGGAAUUUCAUGAAAUUUGUGCAAAUUAAUGUUACUAAAAUUCUCCAAUAAACGCCUCGGCACGUCCGCAUGUCAGUCAAAUGCACGUAUAGUUGUCCCAGCAACAAAUAGAGACAAAGGAGACAUGGUAAAUUCAGAACCAAAUAUAUGUGUUACCAUGCAUAUCUAUAGGUUACGUACAACAUAGCAUCAUGACAUUAGUACACCAGGAGCCCACAUAUCGCUUAGAGAGAGAAAAUUGCUUCCACGUAUUAAAGUUUCUGACACGAUGAAUUUAAUCUUCGCCACGGAUUUUAGCUCUUAUGGACUCGAACACACGAGUUACGAUCAGCACUAUCUCUUCACCAAUUGGUGGUCUUAAAUGGAUGAGCCCCCUCACUUUUGUCCUUGAAUAUAUACAACAGCAACACUAUGUAUGCAUCAUAUUCCAACGCGCUCUUGCUCUCUCACCACUGUUCCACUUUAAUGCCCAACAGUGUUUUGCAUUAUUAUUCAUACCUUGAACCCAAUCUGUCUCGACUGUUUGUCUUAUGGCGCAUGUUCCUCACAGUACCGAGGAUUUAAUGUAAUUCUCAGCAUUGAUCCACCGCCAACUGACAUGCCCAAGUCAUCAUAUGGACAUUAGGGUCCAUGCCACUGUACGCAUGAGAGAGAGAGAUCAGAGAGAGAGAGUAUCUCUUUCAUUAUAUAGCUGUCUCAUAUGUAGUAUGAUUCAUAUUUCAUACAAGAUUAAUAUUAAUGAUGCACGCACGCAUAUAUGUAGUUCCAACUUAUUUAGUUUUUUUCAAUUAGAUUGCUCGACCUCGAAUGUGAAAAGUUAGCUAGACUAAUUAAUCAAAAAUUUGUUAAGUGUGUAAUGCUGAUUAAGUUAUUAAUAAUAUUUUGCGGUGCGCGUAAUUAAGGAGUUAGCUUAUGUAAAACUACUCAUGCUAUGUAUACAGCUAGAAUUUGGGGAAAGUGUUUCCUGAUGCGGGAUCGAUGUCUCCUACUUACCUCACGCGUGCCAUUUAUUGUAUGAAGUGACAUCCCCAAUGAGAAGUGCUAAGGAUGUGUUUGUUUCGGGUAUUGAUUGCUAAAGCUAGAAGUUCGGCGGAACUCAACAUGUUGGUAAUUUGAAAUGUGCCGAACUCACAAGAUCACCCCGAAGUGCCUGUGCCCCCCUUUCUGAGUUUUUGCCUUCCUACAGGAGCAACUGAAGUCGCGAGCUCGAUCGAACUCGAGUGCGCAGGGGUCGCCGCAUCGGUGAACUCCCACCCCAAAAUUGCCAAUUAAACACGCUCUAAUUCUACGAUCCAAAUAAAUAACAGGACUGUACAAUCCUCAGUUCAAGGCUUUCUACAACCAAAUUAAAAAUGGUUGUAAUCUCUACGACCCCUUAUCUAUUAGUGCCUGGUGAGUGCAUAGUGCAGAAAACCCUUUUUUUGGUUUUUAGUUAAGAAAGAGAAGGGACAAGACAAAUGAAAAUAAAGAAAAAGCCUCUGGAGAAGGGCGUUAUAGGAUUUUAAUCUAUUUUGGAUUAUAAACCUAAGAUUGCUGUGAAAAAGCAAUGCUGAAUCUACUGCCAUUUUUUUAGUUGUAAUCUUACAAUAUUACCCUUCUAAGAACCAACUUUUUAUACUAUUCUUAUCAUUAUUUUUUCUCACUAUUCUUAUCAUUUUUGUUUCUCACUGCAACAUAAACGCCGUAUAAUUACACUUUUAAAUAUUGGUAUAGGUUAAAAAAAAUGAUGUUGGUUAUAUUAUCGAUACUUUUUAAAAGUGUUUAUAUAUGUGGGGUCGCUAUAUAUGGGGCCGCCUCGAUAUUUGGCACCCACUCCUCCAGUGACCUAUGGCGGAGAAAAACGUACGUGGCAAUCGUAGUUCUCUACGGUCCCUGUGAGAUUCUCGUGGUCGAAUUCGAGCCGUCGGAACCCUACUUUGUUGGGUGCGGCAGCGGAGGAGGAGAAGAAAAGAUGGUGAUCAAUUUUUCUUUUCUAUUUGUAAUCGUGCCGAGUGGAGGCUGGAUGGGGUUGGUUGAGUAGAAGAACUUUUUGUUUUUGAUUGGAUUGGACUUUAUAUUUAGAUUUUAAUAGAUUUUUUUUAAAAAAAAUUUAGUAUAAAUGGAACACUUACACAAAAAUUACUGCAACAAAAUUAGGUUAUAGGAACACAUUUUUGUUACACUUUUAUAUAUGUGUCCCAUUCAUACUAAAACUUUUUUAAAAAAUAUACUAAAACAUAAAUAUAAAGCAAAAAUAUAAAGUUCCUUUACUCAAUUAACCACACCCAGCCCACUAAACUCGAUUACAAAUAAAAAAAAAAAAAAAUAGUCACCAUCUCCCUUUCUCCUUCUCUACCGUUGUAGACGACGAGAUAGGGUUUCGACGGCUGGAGUUCGGCCGCGAGGAUCUCGUGGGGACCGUAGAGAGUUACGAUCGCCAUGUAUCCCUCCACCACAAGUCGCUGGAGGAGUGAGUGCCAAAUAUCAAGUCGGCCUUACUUAUAGUGACCUCACAUAUAGCAACACUUUUUAAAAGUGUUGGUAAUUUAGCCAGCAGUAUUUUUUUUUACUUGUAUCAAUAUUUAAAACUAUCGCUAUACACUAUUUUUGUUGUAGUGAAUGUUUUAAAAAUAUAUCCCUAUAACCUAAUGGCUAAUUAUGUUGUAGUGUCUUUUAAUUUUAUAAUCUAAAAGAGCACAGAAUUAAUGUGUAUAUAUAUACACGUCUUGAUAAUAUAUAUAUAUGGGGCAAUUUCAUGGAUACCCCUCCCAAAGUUUAAAAUAUCAUAGAUGUCCCUAUAAAGUUUAAAAUAUCACCAAUACCUCCUGUAAACACAGAAAAUUAUCAUUAAUACCCCUACCGUUAGUUAUGUUAGCUUUACCAUAGUUAUUCAAUAGUUAAAGAUGGGUUAACUUUUAAAAUGACUUAUUUACCCUCAAGUAUCUUUUAAGUAAAAAUGUAUUGAGACCCCCUCAACUAUAUGCAAAAUUUAAAUGAAAAUAAUGUUUAGGAAUUAUCUGAUCUUUCUUUAAUCUUGAAAGCUUAAAAAAUUUUUUUAAUCAAAACUAUUCUCGAUGUAUUAAAAAAACUGAAAUAUAAUAUAUUUUAGCUUUCGAACAAAAUUCUCUUUUUAUUUCAAUCGACAAAACAAUGCAUGCAUAUAGCUAUGUGAUUUACUUUUGCUUAAAUAGGAAAAAAAUAAAAUCUAUAUCAAUUCACAUUCCUAAUUAGUAAUAGUAAUUUUGAAAUAAAUUAUANCAAAACAAUGCAUGCAUAUAGCUAUGUGAUUUACUUUUGCUUAAAUAGGAAAAAAAUAAAAUCUAUAAUUUAUUUCAAAAUUACUAUUACUAAUUAGGAAUGUGAAUUGAUAUAGAUACGUAAUUUUAUCUGAACUCGAUUUAAAAUAGGGUAAGUUUAAUCAAUGCUGAAUAAGGAUAGUUUUAGUUAUAGGUACCAAAAAAUAAAAUCCCAUCGUAUGUAAAUUCAAUUAUAGUUUUGGUCUAUAUUUAAACUGAACUUGAACCGAAUCCUAAAACUAAAAACAAAGCCAAAAUCAGAUAAAAACAUAUUAUAUUUAAAAUACAAUUUUUAUAUAUUUUUUAUUAAUUAAUAUAUAUUGAUAAUUUAAUUUACUAUUUAUAUAUUAAAUACUCAAAUUUAGAUUUACAAAAAUUAUUUUGAAAUAUCUAUUAGUAUUUCUACUAUUGAAAAGAGAUAAAGGGUAAAAAUGGUAUUUUAAAAAUUUAACUCCGAUUCAGGUGGGCUCUAACGGAUCUUAACUAGUGGAGGGUAUUUAUGAUAAUUUUUCACAUUUUGGAGGGCAUUUGUGAUAUUAUCAAUUUUGGAAGGGUAUUGAUGAAAUUAAUAGUCCCUAAAAGGGCAUCUAUGAAAUUAUCCCUAUAUAUAUAUAUAUAUAUAUGUUCCAGUGCGACAUUAAUUACCUCUUUUGAAUUUCACUCCUGGAAACUUUGGGAGAGUCUUGUUUUCCAUAUUGUAAUAAUAACAUGCCGAUCAAUAUAUCCGUCUCUAGCUUCAAAAUUUAAUGUAAACUCUACACACUGCAAAAAAAAAUGUAAAAAAAAAUUCUUAAAUAACUGUUUAUUCCCCCAAAUUAGUAGUCCUCGUGUACUUCCAUAUAUUGUCUUAUUUUCCACAAGGCCACAAGAAAUUAAAGAGUGAACGAACCCCUUCUUUGUACUCUUCGCUGUGCACGUACCCAUAAUUGUUUAGAUUAAUUUCUUUAAACAAAUUUCCAAAUCUAAAAGCAAUAUAGUCUAGAACUUUUUGUGUCAUGGAAAUUUACCUAAAAUAAAUUAAGUUUUUGAUAAGAAAACAACAAUGAAAUUCGCACUGUCUAUUUCUGUUAUCAUGACAAAUAAUUGUAAAUUAUAAACAGAAUGAAUGUUUGAAUAUGUCUUCAUCUAUCAGCUUCAAUUUUUGAGGCGAUUGGAGCCCAUUAACUAUCAUGUCAAAUACUAAUUAAGCGAAGCCCCGCAGCAUCAUAUGUUGUGCCUAAUUAUUUUCUUUUUGGAAUGAAUUAAGUAGGUCGCGCAUAACUAUCUUUUCUAUUUAAAAAAGACAAAAAGUAAGAAAGGCCAACUACUUUUGCAUUUUUUAUCACACAUACAUACAUUUCUUAUAUUUUCCUUAUUAUAAUUGUCUUCUGAUCACUUUUGCACUAGGUUAACAACACUCUCUACAAAAAGAACUCUACGAACUUAAUUACUUCGAGCCAAGAAUGGUUAAAAAGAGAGUUAAUGGUUUUAAGAAUCAAGGGUGUGAACAGGGGACGUGGCUAUGUAGCUGGUCGUGCAUGGCGCAAACACGCCACAAACUACGAGAAGAGGAAGAGAGAGAGAGAGGGGCAAAGGUCACCCCCACCACCACCACCAUCAAAUUAACGCACACAAAUUAAGGGGACAAUUUUUAGUUUGCUUUGGGAUGAGGGCUCGUAGCGAGCCGAGCCGACAGGGGCGCGCCGAUCGAAGCAGUUGCUGGGCUGGGAAGCGACUGCUUCGCAUCCCAAGCCGAAAACACCACACGAGCGAAACCUUGUUUUCCUUUGUUGUUAAUUUAAGCUGUACCUUCCUAUACACAACAUAUAUAUAAAACACACAAAUGACAAGCUAACAUAUAAUACAUUUUUCACACACACACACACACUCACUCACUCACUCUCUCUCUCUCUAGAGUGAGAAGACAACAUCUAUCCUUAACGUACGUAACGACUUGUAUGUGGACCGCUACAAUUAGUGGUGAAAACGGAUGGGAUAUUAUCCGAAAAUAUUUAUAUCUAUAUUCAAUAAUAUAGAAAAUAUUUGGAUACAAUCAGAAUCAUCAUAUACGAAUAUGAUUUUAGAGAGUUAAUUUUUUUUGAAUAUCCAAAAAAAAGAGAUAUAGAUAUAGAUAUCCAAAUUUUUAUUAUUUUUAUUAUUUAUUUUUUAUAUUUCUGGAUAUGUUUGGCCCAAUUUUGCCUGCUCGCGCGGUCCGGCCAAAUCACUUUCCUCUCCAUAGUCAAUACUUUUAUCUACUCUUAAUAAUUUAUUGCCAAUCAAGGUAUGGAGGAAAAAGAUAAUUUUUUGUGUUAUUCAUUUUUUUUAUAAUGAGUUAUAUAUUAAAAUUAUAUAUUCUAUAUGUGAAGAAAUAAAGUUAGAAAUUAAAUAAAGUAGGAAAAUAAAGUAAUUUUUUAUAUAUGUGUAUAUUAAUGUAUAUUAUUUUUCGAAUAAUAUCCGAAUACAUAUCGGAUCCAUAUUCGAAUCGGAAAAAAUAUCCUACCAUAUCCGAAUCCGUUUUUAAUGAAUGUGAUUACAAAAAUUUAGCAUCCGUCACAUAUUUGUAUCCAAAUCCGUAUAAAAAAAAUUAUGGAUGUAAAUAUGAUUUCAUUAAAUAUCCCCUUACUACAAACCCAAAAAGGAAUAUUGUAGGGAUUACACCUCUCGUGCAAGGAUUAUUUUUUUCUUAUACUUUAAAUAAUUAUUUAAAAAUUUUAGUAUUAAAGAAAAGUACAAAAAUCUUAACUUUUGAAUGUAUAUGUUGUAAGAUUACAAUCAAAAAAUAAUUGUAGAUGUAGCAUUGCUUUUCAUUUUGCGUGAGUUCUCCUCCGGAUACCCAAAAAUGCAGCAUUUAUAUAUAAUUGUUAUAUAUAUAUUAUAAAAUAAUAUAAAAAGUUUUAGUUAGUUCAUAUAUAAUUUAGAAAUGUAUAUAAAUUUCCCUCUUAUACAUUAUAGGCUUCUAGAUUUAGGGGACUGAAAACAUUUUCGGUUUACCUUUAUAUUAAUUCUUUAGUUGCGACCUAAUUGUGAGAGAAAUAACAAACAACAUUUAUUCCAUUUGAACAGAAACUUAAAAUCAAGUUAUCUAGUUUGGCGAUUCUAUCCACUAGUAUUAACAAUUUAUUGAGUCUAUGUCAGUUAUUAGUAUUAAAGUGCUUGAUUCUUAUAUUCUUAAUUAUUAUAAUCUCUUUAUCAUCAUAUGUGUAACUACUGGAGUAUAUAGAUUUGUUUUUAUUUAUACCUACAUGUUCUCGAUGGGUUCAAUUCUAUAAUCUAAGAUGAUCACUAGACGGUGUGCCGGUAAAUUAGCUUUAAUACUAAAUAUAACGAUAUUUAACUUAUUAGCACUAAUAACUUGUUAAAUCUAAAUUACUAACCGAAAAUAUUUAAGCCUAAUUAUUUGUAGUAAAAUCCCUGCAUCUUCUGUAGUCCUGUAAGCUAUAAUAAAUUGCAAACUUUGUACCUAUGGGUACCAAGUUUGUUAUUUUUUAAUUUUACUUUCUUUUCAUUUUGAGGAGGACUAUAAGUACCAAGAUCAUAUUUCUAGCUCUUUAAUCCACCUACCCCUCUUCUAUUCCACUUUGUUUUUACUCUCUCUCUCUCUCUCUCUCUCUCUUUCUAUUCCACUUUGUUUUUACUCUCUCUCUCUCUCUCUCUCUCUCUCUCUCUCGCUUGUACACACUACACCCAGGAAAAGAAAACGCUCGAACACAGAGAGAGAGAGAGAGAGAGAGAGAGAAAGAGACAUAGAAACUUGCCUCUACAGUUCUAGGAAGACUCAACUUUUUCCCCAUCUCUAUAGUUUUAUAGGCACACCCCACACAGGUGCUCUGUCUCUCUCUCUCUCUCUCUCUCUCUAAUAGUCUUUUGCCUCAACAAGUAAAACCAUCAUCUCCUAGUCCAUCCGCGGCUCCAAAAAUGGCAGAUCCCUACACUUAUCUCUACAACAGCUACUACAAUUUCUACCAAUUCCCCUCCAACCCAUCUCCCCCUCCACUCGCCACUCCCACCUACACUUUCCACAGCUCCCACAUCCAAACCAUCAACAAAAGCAACAGCAACUGUUCCCACCUCCCAUCUCCUCCACCUUCCCCUCCUCUUAGAGAAGCUCUCCCUCUUCUCAAUACUCUCAGCCCAGCAAAGCACCAAGAUGAUCGCGAUAGCACCUCAUCUUGCAGAUCCUUUGGCGAGCCUGCAGCUCCUGCCGACGUUGCUCGUGAUGAUCAAAAGAACAAGAGCAUCACAGUAGUGGAUGAUGAGGACUAUGCCAUGGAUGAAGAUGAUGAGGCUGUUACAGUGGCUCUCCACAUAGGCCUCCCAAGCCCUAGUGCAGUUGAUCUCAUCUCUAAGGUCUCUUCUAAUUACGGUACUCCGCAGGAGGGGGAGAAGGAACCAGAAGAAGGUGGCGGUGGCGGUGAAGAUGUGGUUCCUCUAGGUUGCCCAACCACCACAAUAGGGAGGCUCAACAAGGGCCAGUAUUGGAUUCCAACCCCCUCACAGAUCCUCAUUGGUCCUACCCAGUUCUCUUGUCCAGUGUGUUACAAGACCUUCAAUAGAUACAACAACAUGCAGGUGAUGAUCCUUUAUUUCUUUAUUCAUGUUACUUUUCAUAUAUAAAUAUGUAUGUGUAUAUAUAUAUAUAUAUAUAUAUAUAUAUAUAUAUAUAUAUAUAUAUAUAUAUUUUAAGGUUUUAAGUUGCAUGGUGGAUUGUGCAAUCCUUACCAAUGUCCGGUCUAGUUGAGGAUGAUGUAAACUAUAGUUUCCUUUUUAUGUGAUUGAACUGGACAGAGGGAGUUCUUAUUAUGCUUUUGGUGCUUUAUAUGUGGUUUUGGGUUUAUUUAAAGAGAAUAUUGAUCUUAUAUAAAAACAUGGGGAGUUGUGAGAAUCCUGAAAAAGAUCUCCAGUUCUUUCAGAUCAGUGGCGCUCUCAGAUGGUCUAAAAAGAAAGCACAAUCUUCUGCCGUUCCAGUCCACUGAUCAUCAAUAAACUCCAUGGUUUAUGUUCUAGAUUAUAUAUAUAUAUGUGUGUGUGUGUGUGUGUGUGUGUGAAGCUUUACAUGUGCUGCUUCCCAGAACAAUUUAGAAAAAGAAAAAGGAAGGAGCGAUCGUGCGUGUGUAUGUGAGAAAGAGAGAGGCCCCUCUGGCGAGAAAGAAUGAUUUUAUCUUAUCUUUUUUCUUUUUUUUUUUUUCUCUCUCUCUUUUUGGCUGGAAAAAGAGAUAAUGAAUAGGCUUAUCUUUUGCUUUUGUUCUAGAGAGAGUUUAAGCUCCUUCCAAAAAUCAAAAUUAACCGCUUCCAGCAUAUGCUUAUACAUUUAAUUUCUUCCUUUUUGGCUUUUGAACGCUAUACAAAUUCAUAUAUUAUAGGUUUAUUUCCCUUAUAAUCUGCUUUCCUUUCUAUCAUUAUGAUGUAUGUAUGUUCUAUAACCAAGAGAUUUCUUUUUUAUUUUUUAUUUUAUUUUUUUGCUUCUUGGAUAAGGGUAACAAGAGAUAUCUUAAGGCCAUUUGAAUAUAUAAAAGGAAAGGAAAAUGGGGAAUAUUAGGUUUACACAAUAAUACACAUAACUGCAUGCAUAUUAUGUAUACCGCAUAAUUAUUUCUUCGCUUAUUUUGACUCAUUUGUUCACUUCUUUGCGGUGCACUGCGCAUCAGAUGCAUAUGUGGGGCCAUGGAUCGCAGUACAGGAAGGGACCCGAAUCUCUCCGAGGGAUCCAACCCACCGCAAUGUUGCGACUCCCAUGCUAUUGCUGCGCCCCGGGAUGUCGAAACAACAUAGACCACCCAAGAACAAAGCCAUUAAAGGACUUUAGAACCCUCCAAACCCACUACAAGAGGAAGCAUGGGAUAAAACCCUUCAUGUGUCGCAAAUGCGGCAAAGCGUUUGCGGUGAAGGGAGAUUGGAGGACACACGAGAAGAAUUGUGGCAAGCUGUGGUUUUGUACCUGCGGCUCAGAUUUUAAGCAUAAGAGGUCUCUUAAGGAUCACAUUCGGGCGUUCGGCAACGGGCAUGCGGCGUACGGCAUCGACUGUUUCGAGGAGGAGGACGAGCCGCUGUCGGAGAUUGAACAGGACUGCGUUCGAUCUCACUGAGUAAGAUUGAAGCUCUUGUAGGAGAUGAAUAUGGUAGUGAUGAUCAGUUUAAUUGGAUUGGUAUAAUAUGUGCUUGGGUUCCCUUCAUCGUAUGUGACAGAAGCUUUUACUAUCCAAAUGACCAGCUACUUAACUAGACUGCUUAGUUGUCUCUUUCUUUCUUCUAUUUUUCUGUUUCCUUGUUUUAGGUUGUGAGUAUCAGGGGGGAGAGACAGAUACAGCAGUAACAGUAAUGUUGGGAUCACUGCUUUGUUAAUGAAAGUUGUGAAUUAAUUAAGCUGCUUUUUGUCUCUUAAUAUUGUGUUCUUUAAAAGCCUCUCUACUUCUUUUUACUGGACAAUUUCUCUUUAGGCUAAAUAUGCUACUCUUAAUUAUAUAUUCUGGUUCUUGUAUAUAUAUAUAUAUAUUGUAUAUAUAUAUAUAUAUAUAUACAUGGUGAUCCCUUGGUCACUAAUCUGAUAUUAGUGAUCAGUACUUACAUAUAUGGCCGGCGUCGACACUUAGUCACAAACUCUUUAUUUUAUGGUUCCAAUAUCUAUUGUGAUUAUCCACAAAAGGGGGAAAAGAAAUAAAAAUAAAAAAGCCAUUGUGAUUACUUAAUCACUCGGUGCCUUAAUUUUGUUGUUUCUUACCAUUCUCUUCCUUUUCACUUAAUGAUGUAACCCACAGUGAUGGCUGUGGAUUUUGUUUCUUAUUCAUUUACCAUUAGUUCAUGAUUGCUUUACUUGAAAAGCAGGCAACACCUGAGGAGCCCAUGACCAGUAAAUGCAAUUUCACUGUUCUGGGAAUAGUUUGCACUUUUGCACUCUUCUUACGACUGAAGUUUUGAUGCCCCACUCUUAAUUUGAUAUUUCAAACAAUAUGAUAGACUAAAAAGAAAGCAAAAGAGAAUGAUUGAAUAGUUUUGAUAAGUCAACUAAAUAGAAUGCUUGUCAUCACAUAUGGUAUUCUCUUUAAGUUUUUUCUUGGUUAGAAAAUCACAUGUGAAAUUCUAUAUAAAAUAAAUAAAUAGUGAGUGGAAGUAUGGUAUAUAGUAAUGAGCCAAAAGCUAGUUAACAAACCUAACUUUUUAGAUUGAAUCUGUUUCAUUUUGAUGUAUUAAUAUCUCUAAACUAAAUGCUGGUUUAAGCUAAGUCGGAACUCCACUAGUAAUUUGAUAUAGAUAAAUUCUACUGGUAGAGCCCAAAGGAAGGUAUAGUUUAAAAAAUCUUUGAGCUUAUAGUAUUUUAAAAAGAUAAUUUUGACAAGAUAAGAGCUCAAUAUGAGCACUAGGAUAAGAGGGUGUAAGAUUUACAUUUUUCUUUUUGGUGUAUAAGUAGUAUUUCUCUUUGAUAUAUUACAUCUUAAUUCUGGUUUAGACUUAAUGUUGUUUGGAUAUGUUUCAUUCAUACAUGCUACAAACUUCAAGAGAUCAGAAAAGUAUCAAACUAGUUAGUCACUUGGCUUUACAUCCUCUUGUUUGAAUAUCGCAUUGCAAUAAUAGUUACAUAUAAAUUCUGUUCACAUUCAGAAAAAGAUAGGAAAAACGAGAACAUGUUAAGUAACUAUAUAGGCCUUCUGAUCUUUCUUUCCCUUGUUUCUUGUCUCGUCUCCUUCAGAAGAAUCAAACCAACAUGAAUACCUCACAUAAAAAGGGUUAACAGCAGUGGAGAUACUUCCAAAUAUAAGCUUCCCAAAUAGGAUAUAUAUAUAUAUAUAUAUAUAUAUAUAUAUAUAUAUAUAUAUAUAUAUAUAUAUAUAUAUAUAUAUAUAUAUAUAUAUAUGUAUACCAUGAGCUUUAUGCAGAAGCCAUGCAUGGAUCUUUCACUUCUACCCACUACUUUUACUGCUUUUCGUGAGCAAAUCCACCUUUUUUGGCGCAUAUGUUGCUCCAAUCUACGAGAUGUACAUAUACCAUGAGACGUUCAAAUCAAAUGAUGAGCUUAUCUCAUAUACACAGAGAGAGACGUGAGAGACGGUGAGAGAGAGAGAGAGAGAGAGAGAUACGCCAAAGAAACAGUGGGUUUUCGAUGGGUCAUCUCAAGCACAAUCCAUCCAUCAUCAGAGAGAUGCGUGUUGUAUGAAGUAGAAGUGUUAGUGAGUGUUGCAGAAAUGCCCAGCAACGUGACUUAGACUCCACACUUUCCUGACUCCACACCUAACCCCUUUGCCCUCAUUUAUUCUCACUGCCCUCUCUCUCCUUGUUGAAUUUUCUCUCUUUUGGGUAAGAGCAAAUAUUAUCUCAUGCACAGUAANCAAAUCAAAUAAAUUGAUAAAUUAAAUACUAAAAUCAAAAUUUUUAAAGAAUAGAUAGUCAACUCAAAAUGAUUUAUAGUUUGUAAUAAAUUUUGCACGUUUCACCUUAUCUUAACUCAAUUGUAGAAAUAUCAUAGUGUGGAAUGUAUAAAUAUUCUUUUGAUUUACAAAAGCCAUUUAUUGUGUGAGUGCAUGCAUUCUAUUUGCUCAUGCUGAAAAUAAGUACAUUUGAUCAGGCAAUCAACUGAUCAAAAGUCAGAUCCUUCAAUUGAUCCUUUCAGUUCUAUUAGAAGGAUCGGUUUAUUUUUUUGAAGAGAAAGGUAGCAUAUUACCGGCUUCCUUUAUUUUUUUUAGAAAAAAUUAGUUUGAAAUGUAAAGCAAUUAAAAUUUUGAAUUUGGGAUCUCAGAUAUCAACUACCAUGCCCUUGAGUCGUUUGUCACUUGUGCUAGGCACAGCUGGUUAGUAAGAUGGUUUAUGAUCUUUUUGUUGUGAGAGUUUGUCGAUCACUUUCGGGCCGUCGACCAAUUCACAGUGAAAGUUUUUAUUUUGAGAAAGAGGUAGCACGCUAUCCGCUUCCUUCAUUGAAAGCAUGAAUUAGGCUACAUGGGUGAGACAACCUAGGCCUCGAGAGAGCGGAAAAAAAGAAAAGAAAAAAAGAGGGGGGGUUAGGAAGGGGUUUGUUUUGCUGGAGUAAGAAAAUACCACUCCGACUGUAACUGUUUAAUUAUAUUUGGAGUUUUAUUAUAUUUUAUUAUAAAAUACAGUGUAAUUUUUUUGUGUAAAAUAAUAAAAUUUUUAAAAAAGAAAAAGUACACAAUAGUAAUUUAUUUUCUGACACAACCAGUAUUCAUGUAGCGAUUAACUUAAAACAUCUUAAUUUUGACCCAAAAAAAAAAGAAAAGAAAGGAGCGCAAUAGUAAAUACUGUAUUGCAUGUCAACUAUUAUACUCUCUGACUUUCUUCAAUAUGUAGUGAUGGAAUAAUAAAUGUUUACCUGCAUGCAUUCCAACAUUUCUCUAGGAACAGUGCACGAUUAUGCUCCUUUUUUGACUAAUAUAUAAACUAAUAGUACAAGCUGUGUCGUUUCAUGCAAGCACUCCUUGACAUAAAUAAAUUUAUAUAUCGCGCAACCUUUACAAUACGUAAACAUGUGCUGUACAAGAGGGGUACAAAUUAUAUAUGGUUUCAACACCUUAUUAAUUAGUACUCGCCUUGGGAGUGCAAGUCCUGCAAUCCAGAAAAGGGUUUGUCCGGGGUUUGGAAUUAAGAAACAGUUGAAAAUGUUAACACGGAUAGUUGAGACAAGGAAUGGGGGAGCUCUUUCAAGGAGAUUGCCCACAUGAGGACAUUACAAUUGAACUCUCUCUCUCUCUCUCUCUCUCUCUCUCUAGCCUCACUUUGUAUUACGUUCACACCCACGGAGAAAAGAUAUUAUUGUAUGCAUCCGGUACAUCUGUACGUGUUCGCACUUAGCAUCUAUCAGUGAUUUGUCCAAUCUCAUAUAUCAAUCUGUCUAGUUCGAUGAGCGACGGGUUUUUCUUUGUUUGAAAUAUGAAGUAUUGGACUAAUUAAAUGCAAGCAAUAAAGGGUCAAUUGAUGAUUAGUGCACGAAUAGAUGGAUGGACCAGGUGCAUGUGAUAAUUUGUCCUCACUAUAUAAGGGACACAAGGCAUUGCACAGAGAAUAUAUUUAUGCGGCAUCCUGUUGCGCGCUCGCAACACACAGAGACAACUCUGUCUCCUUUUAAUGGAAUCACGAGGGAGUUGAAUAGAGUCACUGUUCUCAUUCGUGAAAACAUCUUUGAGAGACUAAAAUAUCUGAGGUUAACCCUCCUACUAAAGAACGGAUUAGGGUUUCUCACAGAGUCAUAAACAAGAGGGAUGACCUCGAUCGAUAUGCAUGUUUUGAAGCUUCGAGCAUUUUAUACAUCAUCUUCAACGUAGAAAAAUAUCAGCAACAAACACUAGAUCUUCCUUUAUGCUAUUGGAAGCAUAAACUAGUUGGUGCUUUCGAUUUUUUAGUCCUGAGAUUAAAAAUUCUACGAUUGGAAUAAUAACGGUCCCCUUAGGGCUGAGUGGUCACCCUAGGGUUGAGUGGUUCCUAUUGAUUAAUAAUAUUAAUUUAAUGGUUAGAAAUGAUCACUGGGUUGAUCUAAAGGCUAAAAAAUCGGAAGUACCAACUGCUUUAAUUAUGCUUCCGAUAGCAUAGUAGCUCUACUAUAUAUAUAUAUAAUACGACUGGAAUGCUUCUAAUAGCAGCAAACACUUAGUGCUACCAGCCUACCAAAUUUUUCAUCGUUAGAUUUAUUUUUUGGAUCAUUUCCAUCUGUAAGAUCGUACUAUUCAACCAACCACCAACUCAACCCUAAAAGAUCACUAUCAUCUUAAUCGCACAUUCUUUCAUGUAAGGGCCAAAAACCUAAUAACACUAAUAAUUUGAUGAUAUUAGAAGUAUAUAUAUAUAUAUACUUACUUCUAUAUAUAUAUAUAUAUANNNNNNNNNNNNNNNNNNNNNNNNNAUUUUGACCGUUCAUUUUAUGCCCACUUGAUGGACUUUAUUAUGAUUUCAAAAAUUUACGAAAUUUAUUUUCUAGAAGUUUCAAAUACUCUAGAUCAUAUUUAACGGAGUGGAUCGUCGAUUCGGAAGCUCCAUCAUUAAAAACAACUUAUGAGUACGUGGGCUCCAAUACUCAUAAUAGUAUAGUAGCCAUGGCCUAUAUAUAUAUCUAUACUUACUACAUAUAAAAGUAAGUAUUCCAAAUUUCGGUUUGUCGACAAUCCUAUUUUUUGACGAAAAAAAAAUUUAAUUACUCUUUCCUUAAGUAAAAUAAAUAACGUAAUGAAAUAAACUUUUAAUUUCUUUUUAUCUCUAAAAUAGAAAAAAUAUACUUAUUUAAAUUUUUGCCAAUCAAGAAAUAUCUAUUGUGAAUCUAUAUUUUAAUUUGAAAUUUGUUUAAUUUUUUAUCUCUAAAAUUGAAAAAAAAUCAUGUUNUAAACUUUUAAUUUCUUUUUAUCUCUAAAAUAGAAAAAAUAUACUUAUUUAAAUUUUUGCCAAUCAAGAAAUAUCUAUUGUGAAUCUAUAUUUUAAUUUGAAAUUUGUUUAAUUUUUUAUCUCUAAAAUUGAAAAAAAAAAUCAUGUUUAUCCAAAUUUUUGCCAAAAUAUCAACCGUAAAUCUAUAUUUCAAUUCACAAUUUAAAAUUAAUUUUAAAUUUUAAAAUUUGGGACUAUCAACAUAUUACAACGAAAAUAAUUUAAAAGAUAGCUUAGUUGAUAAAUUUGUAAAUCAUAAUUUUGAAUUAAUAUAAUAUACAAAUUUAUAAUUAAUUUGUAAAACAUUCUCUCAAAUAAGAAAGAACGGUUAUUAUUAAUUUAUUAAAGAAAAAAAAUCUAUACUCAUCUAUAAAUUCAAUUCUAAGAACAGUUAUGAUCAAUUGGUUAAAAAUAUUUGAAAUAAAAAUAAACAGUUAUGAUCAAUCUGUUAAAAAAUAGUACUUCGCUCCAUCUAUUUUACAUUAAAAUUUAAUUUUGAGUUUAAAUCGUGAAUUAAAUUUAAUUUUUAAUUUUUGAUAUCAAAAUUAAAUUAACAAUUAAAAAAUUUUAAUUAUAUAAUGGAUCAAAAUUAAAUUUUAAAUUUUGAAAUAAAUGGGUCUAUUGGCAGAUCAAAAUUUAAAUACGUGUUUAUAUAUAUAUACACACGUAUAGAAAUUCCUACAAUAACAUACCAAAAUAUUCCCUAAUCAGUUUAUUAAAAAAUAUCUCAAAUAAGAACGAAUGAACGGUUAUAAUCAAUUUGUUAAAAAAUAGCAUUUAUAUUCAUCUAUAAAUCUAAUCCCACGGACAAUUAUAAUCGACCUGUCUAUACUAUAUAUAAAAGCGUAUGUGAAUUCCUACAAUGAUAGACAGAAUCAAAAAAAGAAUAAAUGAAUAUUCUCUACGAACGGUUAUAAUUAGUUUGUUAAAAAAUAUCUUAAAUAAAAACGAACGAACGGUUAUAAUUAAUCAGUUAAAAAUAAUAUUUAUAUCCAUUUAUAAAUCUAAUCCUACGAAUAGUUAUGAUCAAUUUAUUAAAAAUAUUUUAAAUAAAAAAAAUGGUUAUGAUCAAUUUGUUAAAAAGUAGCAUUCAUUAAAUUUGAUUUUAAAUCGUGAAUUAAAUUUAAUUUUGAUAUCAAAUUUGAAUUAACAAUUAAUUUUAAUUAUAUAAUGGAUCAAAAUUAAAUUUUAAAUUUUGAAAUAAAUAUCAAUUAAAUUUUGAUACUUUCAAUUUAAAACAUUUCCUUAAAUUUUAGAUUUAUUAGAAAUCAAAAAAUAUUUAUACUAUCUAUACUAUAUAUAAAAGCAUGUAUUCAUACCCAUUUUUUGGCGAAAAAAAAAAAUGAUUCCUCUCUCCUUAUGUAAAAUAAAUAAUGGGUCUAUUGGCAGAUCAAAAUUUAAAUACGUGUUUAUAUAUAUAUACACACGUAUAGAAAUUCCUACAAUAACAUACCAAAAUAUUCCCUAAUCAGUUUAUUAAAAAAUAUCUCAAAUAAGAACGAAUGAACUGUUANAAAUUACUUAAUUUUAUAAAGCGAAUCAAAUAUAAUAAUACUAUAUACAUUGCAAUCUAUUAUUAUAUUAUUGUAUUAAAUCAAAUACGCUAAUGCAGUAUCAGUAAUAAUCUUAUUCAGAAAUUAAAAAUAUCUGAAUAUGUUGAAAUAAUAUGUAAUAUUACAUAAUACAAACCCAACGUGCCAUUAAAGUAAUAAU